rnacentral:lncRNA from 1 species
CCCCUCCUCCUCCUACACCACUAACUCCUCCCUCGUCACCUCCAUCGCCAUCUUCCUCCUCGUCUCCUCCCCAUGUAGCUAAGUCACCACCACCAUCUUCAUCAUCUCCACCACCUUCCCUCUCUCCUUCUUCGCCUUCUAUUUAUAAGUCACCACCUCCUCCUACACAAAUAACUCCUCCCCCAUCACCUCAAUCGUCAUCUCCUCCUCGUCUCCUCCUCAUGUUUAUAAGUCACCACCAUCCACAUCAUCUCCACCUUCUAUUUAUAAGGCACCACCGCCUCCUUUAUUAUCUCCUCCCCCCUCUUUGUCAUCUCCACCGCCACAUUCAAUAUCACCUCCUACUUACAUUUAUAAGUCUCCUCCACCGCCAUCUUCAAUAUAACCUUCUCCUUAUAUUUAUAUAUCUCCACCAUUAUCUUUAUCACCUCUUCCUCCUUAUAUUUACAAAUCUCCACCAUCACCACCUUCUCCCUCGUCUUUCCCUCCAUAUAAUUACAUGUCACCUCCACCACCUUCUCUUUCUCCUCCAACACUUUACAACUCUACAUCUCCUCCCCCACCAUCACGAUCACCUCUUCCCCCUUACAUUUAUAAAUCUCCACCAACUUUCUCCUCUCCUCCAUCAUCGUCUCUAUUACCUUCUCCUCCUCCUUAUGUCUAUAAAUCUCUAUCACCACCUCCUUAUAUUUACAAACCUCCUCCAUCACCAUUUACAUCACCUCCACCUCCUCUUUACUUGUCUCCACCACCAUCAUCUUUGUCACCACCAUCCUCUUAUCUUUAUAAAUCUCCACCACCACCUACACUCUCCUCUUCCCCUCCUUACAUUUGUAAGUCUCCACCAUCCUUAUCUCCAUUUCCUCCUUUCGUUUAUAAAUCUCCAUUGCCACCAACACCAUCAUCUUCAUCACCGCCUCCUCCUUGCAUUUUAAAGUCACCAUCGUCCCCAUCAUCACCUUCUCUUUGUAAAUCUCCACCACCACCUAUCCCCUUCUCUCCACCUCCUUCCAUUAACAAGUCUCCGCGACUACCAAUAUUAUUAUCUCCGCCACCUCCUUCUUCUUAUGUCUAUAAGUCCCCUCCACCACCAUCCCCUUAUAUUUAUAAAUACCCACCACCAACACCACCUAUCUCCUCCUCUUCCCCUCCUUCCAUUUACAAAUCUCCACCACCCUCCUCUCUAUUUCCUCCAAAUAUUUAUAAAUCCCCACCACCACCACCACCUUCUUCAUCAUCUCCUCCUCCUCCAUUAUCUUCGACACCAAAUAUUUCAUUACCCCCUCUACCCCCUCCUCACUUUUACAAAUCUCCUCUUCCUUAAAUUUAUAAACGUUCAUCUUCAUCUCCAUCAUUGCCACUCUCUUAUGUCCAUUAAUCUCUUCUUCUCUUCUCUGGUCGUUGCCUCUCUCUUCUUCAUCUCUUCUUCAUCAAUACCUCACCUUUACAUUCGCAAGUUUCCACCGCAAGUUUCCACCGUCACAGUCUCUUAUCACCUUCUCUUGAUUACCAUUGCAAUUCCCCUUCGUUACCACCUUCCUACCGACACUAACUCCCUCCAUUUUCUGUAUCGGAUUCCCCAUCAUAUUCCUAGAACUCUCUACCACAUUAUCAUAAAAUUGGCUUACAAGUCAAAGCUUCACACUACUCCUAUCUCGACAGUCCAUGAGUGCGUACUUCUACAUGAGGCUCUUUAUAUCUAUUCCCAACAUCGUUAUGUCGUUAAGUGUUUAGUUUUUGUUGCAGUGAAAUGUACGAGUGAAUAAGAAAAGAAUCCAAUGAUUUCUUAAAAGAGUCCUCACUCUUAACACUCAGCAAGCACGGUUUUCAUAUUCUUUUUACCAGCAAUAAAGAAGCAGACGAACUCAAAUAUUUUAACAUUUCUUAACCAAAGAAAUCAACAAAUGUAACCUGUGCCAAAUCAAUCUAUUACCACGACUACUAUGUAUUAGAACGCACAAGUAAACUGCUGCUAAUGUACACUAGAAAAGGGAAUCAAAUGGUCAGCGAUCGAACCAGCUCCAUUUAUUGUCUCAACCAAUCCGGGAGGGAAGUGAUGUCGGCACUGCUGGCCGCUGACGAUGUAGGAGAGCGAGGCCUGCAUGAAGCGCCGACGGCCAUGGCUGUGGCGGCAGAGGGGGCGGAGGCGGCGCAGAGAUGGGGCCAUCCUCGUCGAUGCCAUGGAAGAAUGGGUCAUUGAGGAGUUCCGAGGCGGAAGGUCGAACCCGUGGCCUGCCGAGGCACCGCUCGAUGAAGGCCGUAACCUCCGGGUCCUUGACCUUCGCCAUGGCUGCCGGCCUCACCCCGGUCGUCACCUUCCGGUAGAUCUUGGCGACGUUGUCGCACUCGCUGUAGGGGAUCUCGCGGGUCACCAUCUCCAGCACGCUCAUUCCGAAAGAGUAGAUGUCCACCAGCUCCGUGUACUCCUCCUCGUACAUCUCCGGCGCCAUGAACUCCGGCGUCCCCAGUACGGAGUGAGCCGCGUGGCUCUUCUCCACGGCUGCAGCAAGCCCUAAAUCCCCAAUCUUCACCUGUAACAAUAUUAAGAUAAAAAAAAGUCAGCUUUUUUCGGUGCGGCGAACUUAAAGAGGAAUUCUUUAUAGAAUCAUAUAAUCCAAAAAACAAAUCAAAAAACAAUUUUGUAUUUCCUCAAACGGAGGAUAAAUAAAACAGUUGGAAAUGUAAAGACUCGAUCGUGUUCUAUACCCAAAAAAUUCAUCUUCCUCUAACCACAUCCGAAAAAGAAGCAAACAGAUGAACACCGGAUAAAACAAAUUCCUACCUUUAUGCCAAAGGGAUAAAAACUAUUGCGAAUGUGGAUAAGAUAACGACGAUACAGUAGUUUUUUCGAGAGAUGAUCGCGAUGGAAAGGUGGGAAAAAAAAUCCUAAAUUUACCAAUUUAAAUCAAGAAAAUUUCAAGAGAAACAAAAUUCUGUACCAAUUCACCAAACAAUGGGGAAAAAGUUAAGAAGUGGGGGAUUUGACGCGUACUUGGCCAACAUUGCCAUUAAUGAAGACGUUGGAGCAAUUGAGGUCGCGGUGAAUGAUGCAGGGUUCACGGUUGUGGAGGUACUCGAGGCCCAACAGUAUCUGGCGUGACCACUUCUUGAGGGCCUUCAGCGACACGUGGCGGUGCCGAUUCCGGUACUCACGGAGACUGCCGGAGUUGCAGAACUCGGUGAUGAAGUUGAGCGUGCUACGUCCGUCGUCGUCCGUCCACACGUCGUGGAGCGCGAUGAGGUUGUCGUGCCGCAGCGACUGCAGCAGCCUCACUUCCGCGAAGAUCCGGUCCUGCAUCUGCUGGUCAUGAACGAAGCUACGAAGACGGACCUGGUUCCACGCCACCUCGAUCCCCUCCUCCUGAUCGAACCCCCGGUAGACCCGCUUCACGGCGCCGGUCCCAAGCAGGUCGUCGUACCGCCCGUAUCGUCCCGUGGGGUCCAUCUCCACGAACGGCUCCGCAUCCAUGGCCGCCGGAUCAGGUCUCACGAACGGCAUCCCGAUCAAAAAAAGAGAACCCUUGACUUUUCACUCUUCUUUCACGCCUCCCAGCCGUUCGACCAAAAAGCCCGAACGCGAUGGGGAUCCCAAGAAGAGAUCGGACGGAGUCCUUCGAUCAGAUGAAAACCAGGACGAAACAGAUCACGAGGAAAUACGAGGUUCUUGAUUCUUUGAGGUAUUGAUUAGUCGAAGCCAUCGAAGAUUCAAUCAGCAGAGCUACAAAAACACAUGAAGAACCCCAAACAAAGAAAGAACAGAUCAAUAGAAAGAACAAGAUCACAGCUUAGGAACAGAAUCCCCAUGGCGAUGGGGAACUGCUUCGAGAAGCAAAAGCCCCGCAUAAUCUUGACAUGAAACGGAAAGAACAGGGAAAAUUAAAGCACCAAAGGGAGCGGCCGGGAUCGGUACCUUAGGACUAUCAUCUAGAGCAGAGCGGGGCGGCGGAGAAAUCAAGACGAGGGAGGAAGCGGCUCGCGGUGGAAUCCUCGCAGAGGCGGUGCGGAGAGCGUUCCACCUGGGGAUGCGGGAGAGGUAGAGCGCAGCCGAUUGCUUAUAUACGGGCGGGCGGUAGGGAGUCCCACGGCAGCCGGUUCACCCGCAUCAAAUCACGAAGACGUCUUCCAUGCGUAUUCGGUCUCGUUUCCAAUUCCACUUACAGCCGUCCACCUCAAGCCUUGAUACUGACAAUCGCAAAACCGACUCUUAAAGAAUGACGUGUAUUUAUUACUUCCGUUACUUGGUGUCUAACAAAACUUCUGCUCUUGCACGGGAUCCAAACCCAGUUCUUUCACUUGAACUUGAUCGAGUCGUUGAAUGGAUAUCUUCCUUUAAUUACAUUAACAUUAAUUUAGAUAUUGGCUUCGCAUGAAGGAAGCACAACGUGGUGACACCAUUGCUGCAAAGGGAUGCAUUGACUUUUGACUCCGCCUGACAGUGGAUGUCAAACAGAUUGUUUUGUCUUAGCUGGUCAAAUAUUUUAUGAUGUGUAUCAAAGUUCAUUUUUGUCACAGGGCACAAUCACAUUAAUGCUAAUCACAUUUUAUUGUAGUUAUGAAUAAUGUUGAAAGCCACUUGGCAUAAUCACAACUAAUUAGUGCACAAUAAUGUUUUUCUACUUUGACACGUGUAAAAUAAAAUUCAGGAUCUGCUGUAUGUGGAAUUGCAUAUUACAGCAUUAUGUGACGACGUGGAAGAUUUCUAGUGGUUGGAAAAUGCGGGCCAACAUAACUGAGGACGGUUCAACCGGUGUCGUUCCACCGGCAGUGCCGGUCGUCCCAUUGACGAGUUGGAAUCCACCCUCUUAUGGUUCUGUCCGCCUGUCCCUGCCUGCGGCCUUGAGAAAGGAAAAGGAGAGAGAGAGAAGAGAGAGAGAGAGACAGCGAGGGGUUCUGGUGCAAACCCUAAUCCCUUUCUUCGACCGUCUCCUUGCUCCUUCUCCCUUUUCUCGAAGUCUUCCUCCGGCCUUCCUGCAGUCCUUUUCCCCGGAGAUGCAGCUCCAUCUACGCGAUCUUGCUGCAGAUCACCCGGAUUCGUCCCCCUUCUAGGUUGGAGGUGAAUUCUGCUUAUAGGGUUCUAGAUUACUUAUUUCUUGUUCUGAUUUAGCGUGCACCGUGUUAGAUGUGGGUGAAUCGUCCAUCUUGGACUUAUACUGGUGCCUUCAUCUGUUGAACUUUAAGUUUCCCCUUCUGUCGGUGCUCUUGUUGGUUUUUGUUCAGAUCAGGAUUAAAGAUUCCAGAAAUGUGUAUCGUCGUUCCUGAAGAAUGUGAUUUGGCUGAUUUCAGGGGCAAGAUUGCAUUUUUUGGCGCUACGUAGUGAAAAUUUUCGCUUCUUGGAAGGGGACGUUCGUUUUCAUGCUUUUGUACAUAAAUCCUUUUAGCGUUUUAGUUUGACGUUUCAUUUGUUUAUUGGUUCUAACAAUUCGAACAUAAACGCAAUCAUGCAUGUUUGUUUUGUUUAUAUUGUGUAGACAGAUGCAUACUUCGAACAUAACAAUUUGACUGAUAUGUGGAGCAAGAUCAGAUCUUGGUGCCACUAAUUGGGAAAAAGUUGCCUUCUUGAAGUGGUUUAGUUUAAUGUGUGCUUCUUUUGACGAUUUAGAAAAGAUUUUCAGAUCUGCAAGUGAUGCAGUCGUGCUGAUCAAGUUCUUCUAAUGACACAGGCUAAGUCUUAAGAGAAAACUAAACAGUUAUAAUGGGUACUUCUUCGGGUGCAAACCACCAUCAUCACCAACCACCACUACCUAUGCUACCACCACGACAGCAUCCAAGAUCUGCAGGACUGCAGACGUCCCUGUCCCUUGCUUCAUCAGACCCUGCAGCAUCACUUGACACCCAAGAACCAGGAUCAAACUCUGACCAAGGGCAGGACUCACACACUGAGAGCGCCAGCUCUCGUGAGACCUGGCCCAUUGAGACAAACCGUUCUGAUGCCAUUGCAGUAAAUAAAGUAGACAAGGAAAAGGAAGGAGAGAAUGAAGUCGCUGAACUGCAGGUCGUUCGGAGGAUUUCCAAUGCAAACAGGCUGUCACUUCAUGAAGUUGCUCGAGACAGGGUUGAGGUUGUCUCUGAGAAAAUGAAGGUUAUGCCAGAUGAGCUUCUAGAGGAGCUUAAAACUGAACUUCGGGUGAUUCUUGAGGGUACAGGGGGUUCCCAUCACAUAGAAGAGUUUUUGUAUCUCCAGAAGCUUGUGCAGGGGAGAGUUGACCUGACAGCUAAAUCCCUUGCUACUGCUCAUCAUGUGCAGCUCGAAAUUCUUGUUUCUAUCAAUACAGGCAUUCAGGCCUUUUUGCAUCCGAGUGUCAGUGUUCCACAGGGUCGCCUCAUCGAGGUUUUCUUGUACAAGAGGUGCAGGAACAUCGCUUGUCAAAGUGUUCUUCCUGCAGAUGAAUGUAGCUGUGAGAUAUGUACCAGUAGGAAUGGUUUCUGCAAUCUCUGCAUGUGUGUGAUCUGCAACAAGUUUGAUUUUGAGGUUAAUACAUGUCGCUGGAUCGGAUGUGAUACAUGCACACACUGGACUCACACAGAUUGUGCCAUGCGGGUUGGCCAAAUUGGGACAGGUCAGUCUGUUAAGAGUGCUGUUGGCCAUGCUGAGAUGCUUUUCAGGUGCCAAGCAUGCCACAGAACAUCUGAGUUGUUAGGAUGGGUUAAAGAUGUGUUCCAGCAGUGCGCUCCUGGGUGGGACCGAGAGGCCUUGAUGCGGGAACUCGACUUUGUUAGUAAGAUUUUUCACUUAAGUCAGGAUCCUAAAGGAAGGAAAUUAUAUCGGAAGUGUGGUGAACUCGUAGAGAAGUUAAAAGGUGGGAUACCUGAGUCCAUGGCUUGCAGAAUGCUCCUUCUCUUCUUCCAAGGUAUGGGGCAAAACUAUUCUGUAUACGAGUAAGUACACACUAAAUAUUAACUGCCAAUUAUCAUAUAUUCUUUGAGGAAGUCGUUCCUACAAUAACAUGGCUGUGAAAAUCAAUCUCGAGAUUGGCAUCAUUUGCAAAAUCACUGAGUUCUGAUGCAUCCUUCAGUAUGUAUUUGAGCCACUGCCUUUCCAUUUUAUUCUCCUAGACCUCUUUUCUUUUUCAGAAACUCAGGAAACCCGCCGCUGGUUUUAAGUUGCCUCUUUUAUGGCUAUUGCAGAGCUUGAAUUAGAUUCACCAAAGAAUUCUGAAAGCGAUGAAGUUGGGCGUCUGAUUUCUCCACAAGAAGCUUGCAAUAAAAUUGCUGAGGUGGUCCAAGAAGCUGUGAGAAAGAUGGAGAUGGUUGCAGAGGAGAAAAUGCGGAUGUUCAAGCGGGCUCGUCUAGCUCUCGAAGCCUGCGAUCGUGAGGUUGAGGACAAAGCCCGAGAAGUUCAGGAGCUAAAAAUGGAGAGGCAGAGGAAAAAACAGCAGGUGGAGGAACUAGAGAGCAUCAUCAGGCUUAAGCAGGCUGAGGCUGAGAUGUUCCAACUAAAGGCCAAUGAGGCCAAGCAGGAGGCUGAGAGGCUGCAGAGCAUUGCAUCAGCCAAAUCGGAGAAGGCUGAGGACUAUGCUAGUAUGUACUUGAAGCGUCGUCUAGAGGAAGCAGAAGCUGAGAAGCAGUAUCUAUACGAAAAGAUAAAGCUCCAGGAGAGCCAGCGUGCUCCACCGGGGAGCAGCAGUGGCGGAGGUGGCAGCGGUGACCCUGCACAGGCUCAGAUGCUAAACAAAAUCCAGGACUUGUUGAAGAAUGUGUUCAGUGUGCCUCCUAAGAAAGAAGGGCAGCAAUCCAAAUGACCUAUUGCUGAUUGCCUGUGGGGUUCUAGUGGUUCUUAUGCUAUCUAUGUUGUGAUGUACAACCAAGGACUGUUUAGAUUACCAACUGGAUGUUGCUGGAAUAUGGAUACAGUGGCUUAUUUGAACCAAACUCGGUAUUCAUAUAAUAUGGUGAAGUUUGUCUUGUGUUUGUACUAAAGUCUUUAGAUUAAAAGUGUCUUUGGUUGGCCUUCGGAUCAUGAUAUAAUGUAUUUGAAGCAGUAACACCACCUUGAUCAAGACAAUCAAUCUCCCUCAUGUUGAAACAAGUUUGUACAUCGCAACAAUUUUUUUUCUUUUUAAUUUCAAUAAAACAAACUUGUACUGGUAGUUUAUCAUCUACAUUUUGGAGAAUACUGAUACUUCCAACUUAUGGGGCAAACACAAGCAUUUGUCACAUCUGUAUAUUUGGAUACCCCUCUAAAAUCAAUCUAAUUGCCAUGUUGCAGUUGUGGAAACAUGAAGAUUACGCAAGAAUGAUGGGUAAGGAAAGGAACGAGGAAACAACCGACAUCACAGUACAAUCCAUCACCUACUGGAAUACACUAAACUAUUUCAUCAUCUGCUCUCUGUUCUGCUGCCACCACAGGAUAGAGAGAUGGAAGACCCUGUGCAUCCAGGCCGAUGUGAUGUCAACUCCCUUCAGCUCUCAAUACUUGUGCUGCUUCCUACUUCCACACACGCCCUCUUUGAGAGAUCGAGCUCUCUUGUUCUUGGCAGCAACAGCACACACCCUGCACAUUGUGGUCCAACGUCUUUAAUGUUUCAGUUCAAUUACUUUGAUAUGUAGGCAAGCCAUUGCAUGGGGAAAUGCACCAUUUUCUCAGGUAGAUAUCAGCAUAGGGAUGUGUUCCAUGCCUUUACCUGGGAUCGUUCCACUUCCUCAGCAGCACGCAAGCUUCAGUUUUCUUUUACCUCUUAUUUAAGGUCCAAAUAAUUAGCUUCGUUUAAAGCCACUUACCAUGGAAACAGGAGAGGAGAUCAGGUGAGAUUUAAUGUGUUGUCUUGUGAUCAUGCCCUCUCGAGCAUCAACUCAAACUACCAAUUCAAGUGCAAUAAAGGGUGCAACACACGACAGAUCCUUUAUCACAGGAAGAACACCCUCUCCUUAGAUGAAAUAUACAAAGCAUCAGGUUCUCAGUGAUGCAGUUUAACGCAGCACUCUCAGGAUCAUUGACCUCUCAAACCUGGUUUGCCUGUUGCAUUCAUCUGCCUGCUAACUAGUGGAGGAGACUUAGGGUUUCCGGGGACUUGGAAGACUGGAGCUUCGGAGGAGGUGCUUGUGGCGCAGACGGUAGCGGCGUUUGCAUGCACUUGCAGUUGGGGCAUGAAGGAGAUGACUUGCAUAGCAUGACGAGGAGGUGGCAGUUGACGCAGACCACCGCGGCCAUGCUGCCACAUGAACUGUGCUGCUUCUUUGCUUCCUCUGGAGUUGUCGAUCUCGAGUUCGGCGCCUCUUCUGAGCUUGAGAAGGUGGAGAUGUUGAGCUCCAAGUCCAGGUUUUGUUCCUUGGGCCUGCUCCAGCUUCUCUUCAGGGUUUUCCUGUUCAUGUAGUAGAUCCUCCCAGUCUGCCAUUCAUCAAUUUAGAGAACGUCAGAAGAAAGGCAAUACUGUAUGUAACAGUUCAUCUAAUCAGAGAGAGAGAGAGAGAGAGAGAGAGAGGAGGANNNNNNNNNNNNNNNNNNNNAGAGAGAGAGAGAGAGAGAGAGAGAGAGAGAGGAGGUCCACCUGUAGGUCAAGGCAGCGUUCCCAAUCAAGCGGCAAGGGAUCAUUGAGCUGGAGCUCGAUGCUAGUUUGCCUGGGGUUCGCAUCCCAGAUCUGCUUCCUCUUCCUCCGGCCACAUCCUUCCGAUUCCGAAGAGGAACUCUGUGUCUUCUUGCUCAAGGUCGACGAAGAUGGACCCAACGAUAGCUCUGUUUGAUCCAUCAUCGUCAGGACUUGCCCCUUGCUCUGCUUCUCUUCUCCCAUUGAGCCAAAUCGAUUCUGAGAACACUGUAGGAAGCAGAGCGAGAUCAGAAGUUGAGAAGGAAGAGGAAGAGGUGGAGAAUGUGGAGGGAAUGAGCAGAAAUGGGGAGCUCCCCACAGCUUUUGUUCGACUAGAUCAUGCAGGGAGUGGCCACUAAAGGGGGUUAUUAAAUGGCCUUCAUCCAACCUUAUUAAGAGGAGGGCAGACGCAGCAUUUAAAGUUGACAAGUAGAGUGCCUUAAAUGCCUACAAUCUCACCAUUAAAACCAUCUCCCUAAAUGACCUGACUCUUCAUGCCACCAAAAUCUAUCUCCCCCGACUUCAUUUCUCCUUGUAUUGCCAGAGCAUCUCUCCGACCUAAGCACCACCUCAAUCAUCACUCCACAAUCCACGCACAACACAGCUGCAUUUCCUUCCUAAAAAGCUGUUUCUUAGAUACAUUACCCAUGGGAAUUGGCAGCAGGACUAGGGGUUAUCCUACAACACUCACCUGUGAAGCAAGCAUGACAUUAAUGUCGGAGGGUGGAAGCAAGCAAGAACGUAGAUUGCUGCACUUUCAGUCUCCAACUAGUCCAAAGGAACAUCGUUUUCCGAUGUCUUAAGAUCUCACAUGCACCAUUAACUCCCACGAAGUUAUGAUCUGCUUCUUGUUGGUGAGCAUUCAUGAGCAUGCUCGACUCCAAUUCUCAUCAGCAAACAAACAAUGCAUCACACGUACGCACACUGUUUUAUUUAUAUAUAUAUAUAUAUGUAUAUAUCGAGAGAGAGAGAGAGAGAGAGAGAGAGAGAGAGAGAUUUGGCAAGGCAUUAGAAAAGGAAUAAAUAUGGCGUGUUGAGGCUUCUUCUACGACUCACCAGUACCAACUGCAACAAUAAAUUGAGUUCCCUCUCUCUCGCUGUGUGUGUGUGUGUGUGUGUGUGUUCAAUGGGGCAUGAACCCAUUUAGUGUUUGAUGUUAUAUCUUACUGUUACGACCUGCACCUGUAAGGUAUUUCUACGGUAAUCAAAGUGAACAAACCGAGGCUCCUUGUUCUCGAUGUAGAAUCUGAUCUCAUGAGUCAAUGAAUGAACUGAAAAUGACCCAAUCACAUGUGUGCAUUCAACCAGUGUGAUGAUAGAUAGGUACUAGCAAAGAUGAGAUUUGAUCGAUGACCAUGUCCAACCAGAUAUGAUUUCUCCAUGCAUUUGCUUAUAGGAAUCAGCCUUCAUACUGAUACAGAUGAUCUAGCAGGCGCAAACUGCCUGAGAUAGAUCUAGUCCAUCUGCAAUCAAUCAAUUCUUGAGGUUCUGUUGUAAUCAUUUUAAGCAGCAGCGCAUUAGUGGGUUGCAGAUUCUUGUGUGCUUAUAAUUCGAUAGGAAUCGACAACGCAAAGCUUGUCUUCCCAAGUUGCUUCUGAAUAGGUUGGUUUGAUGCAGAUGUUUAUAUAGAGGACAUGGGUGCCUUCAAUGCAUGCAGAGACAAUUAUGUGGAACUCAUCUUCCUCUCACACAAUUACUACAUUUGGGUCAGAGCUCAUCAAUUGCAUCUUGUUCUUCCAAAUUCAUGGCUCUCGGUCCUGCCAUUCCAUUUCUAGGAGGAGAAUGAUGUCAUCGAUCUUGGUCCCUGGUACACAUCUCCAUGAAGUGCUUCUUAUUAUGGCAAGCAGUGGCAACUUUUUCUCACAGCCAUGUUCUCAAGGGAAGCAGCUGAGAACUUAUCAGUCCAAGUAGGCAUGGCUUGGUCACAGAUGUGGACAUGAGCGAAGAGUUAAUAAGCAUGUUGAUCAACAAGCGAAAAGCAAGAGAAAAAACAUGGUAGGAACUAAAGAUUGAUCAUUAGUGCUUUUACAAGUUGAUCUCAAGAGAACUAUAAUAGAGACAGAGAGACAGAGAGAGAAAACAAGUUGAGAGUACAAGUCAGUCAUAACUUGCUCUGCAGCUGCUCAACUGACUGAUUACAAGUCAAAAUGAUCCUUCUCUACAUUGAUCUUCUAAUUUUUUUUGAUAAAUGAAACAACAAAUUAGAUUGUGAACAGAAAAUCCAAGACAUGAAACAUAUGCACAGUGGUUGAACAAUUAGCUGUAUGAAGCACCAGUUUUUCUGCAUAUGUCUGUGGAAAGAGCAUAGAAGGCAUGAGUUUAUUACUUCUUCAUGAUGCUGUUGAUGGUUUUGGUGGCAAUGCCUGACAACAUCAGUUGAUGCAAUUCUCAGAAGAUCAAUAAAUCCAUGAUAAUUGUUUCCGAACUUCAAAGUUCUUGGAGCAGAGAAUUUAAAGAACAAUGUUGCAGCAACUGUUUGGCUACUUAAUGUGAUAGAAAGCAAAGGAUAGGGUAAAAUAAAUGAGAAAUGGUAGAAAUCAUAUCAUUAUACUUCUAGCGCAGCAUACAGUUUUCUACUGUUCUCAGCCAGGAAUACACUGCAAUGAUUCAUUGGUAGAAUUGUACAGGUUUGUCUUAUAAGUAGCUGAAAGCCAAACGAAACGAAUUAUGAGGCCAAAACUUGAAGCUUAUCAUUGAAUCUGAAUUCUUCUGCUGAUAUGGUCUACACACAAAUUGAACAUUGAACCUGUAUUCCUGUUCAUACAUUAUGUUCUUGAUUGACAGACAGAUUCAGUUGGUUGUCAUAGAUCAACAUUUUAAGGAAAAAUUUAGAUGGAUGUGCCCCAAGAAAACAAGCAGAGUUCGUAGCCGGUACUGAUCAUUAAAUGAAACUAAUUGCUUCCUCCCUUGCUGCACCAUGCAGAUCAUCAAAACACUUCAGCUACCAGCAAAUAUGAAGCAGUGCAUUGAACACCAACCUACUGCAUUUCUACUUGGUUUCAAGCUCAUCUGCUGCAUUUAAUUCCAUAACAAUCUUCUCACAGUCAUUAGUUCUGACUGUAGCAGAAUUCAAGAUUUACCACUUAACUGGAGCUCUUAUUUUAAAUGCAGCAUCUGUUCAUUCCUCUGUUUCAUUGAGGAUUCACCAUCAGCAUUUCUUCAGAGUGAACUCAUUAUUUCUUCUUUGGUAAGUUCUUCCUUGGAAGAUCACAGUAACUAGCCUAGUUAGUAUCAGCCUAUUGUUACUCUCUCAUCCAAAACCUCAUAAGCCUUCAUGGCAACAGUGGCCACCCUGAUUUCUCUGUCACAAAGAUGAGAAAUUGACUUUCAAUACAUUUAGCUUUGAAUUACUAACCUUCCCAUUUAGCUACCACUAAGUUGACAGUACAAUAAUUUUCCAUCUGCCUUUUCUCCCUCAAAGAAGUCAGGAUUUCCCUUAUCCUCUCACUGUACAGGCAACUCACCAAAAGAAACUGAUGGAUUUGACAUUGCCAACUCCUGAUGAUAUUGAAUGGUUAAGUUGCUAUCACUUGGAUUGCAGAGAACUUUUAGCUCUAUACUUGAAUGGCUGAAAAAGCAAACUGAACCCAUCAUCCUUGGUAGUUAAGCUGCUCAUGGCUCUCCUUGGUAUACCAUUCUGUGUGUGUGAAUCCUUCUUGCUCAAGCAGUAACUUUCAGUUGGCUAAAUGAUACCUAGAAACUUUAGUAGCAGUCUUCAUAAUUUAAGAACCAAACUCUGCCAAUGGAAAUAAUACACAAACUCACUGCCUUGUUUAUGUUGCUUAGUCAUGAAGCAUGGAGUGCAUCUAUGAAGAACUCUAGAGUUCAGAUGGAGCAUCUGUUGCUGAACCAAUGUUCUUAGAGCCUGCUGAUAUUAUCUUUCAUGAAAGAUGGAACUCAUUUUAUGCUCUUUGUAGCUUGUUUGGCAUUUCAUCUAUCUGAUGGAAGGUUGAAAUGCUUUAAUUAACAUGCCAUUUCUGACCAAUUACACUGUCUCUAUUUGACAAUUGCAAAUUAAGUGUUUGGUUAGGGUAACAUGAAGUUCAUAUACCAACUCUAAUCAGAACCUCCAUAAACUUUCUUGUGGAUGUUAAAAUGUCAUAUGAGAUCAAUGAAACUCUUGAGCAUCAUUUAUCAUUGAUUUAUGAAGCAUCUCUUAAGUUAUUGGAACAGAAAACCCUGUAUCAUGCCCUGUUUUUGUUGCUAUAGCUUUUACCACUGAUCCUGUAAGACCAUGGUAAGAUUUUGAUUGGUAUGUUGCACUUUGUUCUUACAUCAUCUGUUUGAUCCAUGGACUCUUUUCAGUUGAUAGGGCUCUUUCAGUGGGCCCAGCUAUAAUUCUGGGGAAGCAGACUUUUGCCAUGUUUGGUCAGCAGCAACAUCACACCCUACACAUACACAUCACAUGGAGAGGGGCCCUUCAAGCUUUUGUUGCUGCACUUUGACCCUUCCCCACACAAAGAUAAAGCUUGUGCAGUGUCACAAUUGGAUAAGCAUUCAGCAAUCAAUAGGCUGUGAACCCCCAGCACUUUGUUCCCACCCACAAGGAAUUUAAGUAUUGACUCACAAGAACCACAAUUCUGAGUGUCUUGAAAUAUGUCCAGUUUCGAUCAUUGUAUAGGGUUUUCUUUCAUCUGAAAGAAAAGAGUCACAGGCUUGUGCAGCAACUAUUAUGCAGGUAUCAGUAAAAAGCUACAGGAUUGACCAAAACUCAAUAAGUAUACUUAGCAUCAGUUGAGGUAAUUGAUAAAAAUUGAAGUGACAACAGUUUGCAUGAGAACAUUUGCAACCGAAGCUUUACCCACUAAAGGAGGAGAAUUGGAUAGCUCAGUUUCUUUCAGGAACUGCUAAAUUUAAUGAAAAGAGAAAAAAGAUGGGAAGUUGCAUCAGUGAGUAGCAUUUUCUGAUAUCUUCCUAAAACUUGCAAGGUUCAGCAACAACAUAUACAACUAAAGUCCAAAAGAUUUCUCAUUAGCAAUUGCCACAGAUCACCACCAUGCCUUAGAAGUCAUGAAAGAUGGAAUCUGUAUCCAUGCAUCAUGGUCUUACAAGAAGCCAAAACAAUAAGAUCUUGUGCCAAGAGAAUCAUUCGGGCAAACCUUGGAAGCAAACUAAACAUCAAUAACUUGGCAGAUGUAACCUUCAGUGCAUUGAGAUGAAAUUAGAACUAAGCAAAAAAGCAUUUUUGCAAAACAUACUCGAGAUCUUUCACUUUGAUGCCGUGCUUCCCACCCCCAAUGUGAGAUCAAGAUCAUCCACCGCGACGUCAUGAAUCCUCUCCCCCUCCCAAGGUUUCACCCUACCACUCUCGAAUUCAAACUCCAUGCCUCCUCUCCCCCUCUCCAACACCUCUCCGCCUGGAGAACUUGCUAUGUUCGUUGACGGAACUGCUCCUGGAUUGACAAGGUUGUAGGUUGGGGAUGCCGGGGCUGUCAUCUGGAAGUUGAUCCACCGCCCAGAUCCAACAGUGGAGGCAUCAGAUUCAUCACAUUCAGGUAUAGCAGCAGGAAGCCCAUGAUAGCGGCCCCGGGUAGGGCUAGCAGGGGCGGACGCAGCAAACAGAGACUGGGGGAAUGCACUGUAGUCCCAGUCUGGCUUCCUAAUCUUAGGUGGGCGGGAGGCAGUCGGUGAGGAAAGGGGCGGGGUGACAGGUGCACUGUUGGAUAUUCGAAGAGGUGGGAGGGUGGAUAGGUUGCGAAGGAAGGGAAGAAGACAAGAGGGGUUCACACUGGGAUUGUUAGAGUUGUCAAGACGACUCGGGCUUGGGAAUGAGGAUGAGGAUGGGCUUGCAUGGUAGGAAUGAACGGGACUCGGGAACGAAGAGGAUAGUGGACUGAGGAGGUGUGAAGAAGAGCAAGGGCUUAUGUUUGUCGACGGGCCUCCUGUGGCAACCUCUGGAGGUGGAGGGGGUGGCUUGCAUCCCUGUUGAACAGAUGAGCAUCAGAGGAUUAUGAAGAAUUGAGAGAGGAUAAAAGCAGUGAUGCUUAGAGUACUACUGACCAAAUGCAAGUGUCGGCGAAGCUUUGAAAAAUAGCGAAAGUGUUAAAAUAUGAACUUCAGAGGACUACAUAUAAUUGAGAGUGAGUAAUGUAUGCUGCUUAGAACACUCCUACUCAGGUGCAAGACUUGAUGAAGAUUUGAUCUAGUAAAAGUAAUGAAAUACUUAUCCUUUCUUUUAAUUCCAUACAUCUUCAAUCAACUCUGACUAUGUCUUUUCAGCUUGACAUGCUUUUGUCUUUGUGUUUCUGAAAGGCUACAAAGAAUUGGGAGAAGAAAAUUGAGCACAACACUUGAUCUACUGAAAGUAAUGAAAGGCUUUUCCUUCAUCUCUUAUUCCCAAGUCUUUACUUUAUAUGCUUUUGCUUUCUUUCUGUUUCACAAUUCUUUCAUCAGUUUGGAUGAUGCCUUUCUGUGUUCUCGACUCUCAAGGCUCACUUCCAAAGCAAGAUGGAGGGCUGAUCAUUAGAGUGAACAAGGGGAAAGCAACAAAAGGGAGAAGACUAGGACACAAAGUUCAAGAAUGCAAUCAGAAAAAGAACACCAUCAUCUUGGGUUGAAUGAGAGAAUCCAGAGAAGACUACCUCUAAAGUGAUCUGGUCAAAAGAAAAAAGGGAUGUCAAAGUAGAAUUUUUUUUAUAGCUAUAGUCAGUACUUGCACAAAUAAAUGAGAAAGAUUGCAGCCAGGAAGAGGUUAAAACACCAGUUGAGCAGCUAGAUUCAAAACAUAAUGUAGUACAAGAUCUGAUGCAAUCAAAACUAGUAGUAGAGACAUCAAAUGAUCAUAAGAAACUGCGUGGAGAAAGGAGGACGAUGAGUCAAAAUUCCAUGGGAAUCAAAUAAAAAGAUCCCGGAAAGCAGGAAAAAAUAUGUAUUAAUUAUAGAUCAACACCUACUAAGUCACUAAUAAAUCAAUAUCUCCAUCCCAAAGUAGUUAAACAUUCACCCACACAGAGCCAAAAAGGAAGAUCUAUUUUGAAAGAGAAUAAACAUGAAUAAAAGCUAAACAAGAAAAAACAAGGAACCGCAAAUUAGCUGCCGAUGAAAAAGGAUCUGCGAUAAGGAGAUCAAAUCAUAGGGUCAUUCCAAAAGAGCCUCGUCAAGAUCAAAUUUUUGGGUUUAUUCCCACCAACAAAUUUUGAUCUCUUGACGAGGUCUCGUUUUGGAAUGAUGAGAUGCAGAUUUCCGUCUGCAAAAGGCCACCCGUGUGAUUUCUGCUAAUUUCCGAGCUUCACAACCACUGGUAAUAUCUUAAUAUCCAGCAGAUCGCAGAAAAGAAACGGGAGGAGGAGGAGGAGGAGGAGGAGGAGGAGGAGAGAGAGAGAGAGACCUUUCGGUAGGUGGUGCCGUCGUCUUCGACGAUCCAACCAGCCUCGCGGCAGAGAGCCUUGAGGACCUCGUUGUUGUCGCAGUGCUUGGGCAGCUUGUAGUUUCCGAGCGCCCGUAGCCCGGAGAAGAUCUUGGCGGCGAUCGCCCUCCGCCGCCGCUCCCGCCGCUUGUUGUUCUCCCUCUCCUUCCACGUUGGCAGCCGCCCGCCUCCAGACGUCAUCCCUCCCUUCUCCCCUCCGCUCGCAACUCCUCCUCCAAAAACCCAACCUUUUCCUCCUUUACCCUCUCUUCCUGCCCCUCCCCCCACCCUUCCACCCCUCGAAGACCUUCCUUUUCCCUCCCAAUGGCAGAGGAAGGUGCCCUUGGUGUGAGGCGAAGGCAGGACCGAAGCAAAAAUGUGUUUUUUCCCUUCUACUUUGCCAGUUUUUCCUCCUACACUGUUGUUUUCUCCUCUCUCUCUCUCUCUCUCUCUCUCUCUCUCUCGCUGCUGCUUUUGGGCAGAGAGUCUGAGAUCGCUCACGAGGAGAGUACGGCUCUAUUUUAUUGCGAUGAGAUUGGACAGAUUCUCUUCGAUGACAGCGAGAGAAGCCCCCCACCUCUCUCAGACUCCUCACAACCCUCGCCCCUAACACACCUCUCUCUAUUCUUUUGAGAGCGUAGUUUUUACCCGAGUUGUAACACCUUGGUCAAUGCCUCUGACGCCAUUAACAGAGGUUGUUUGUUUAUUGUUGCCCAGAGAAGCUCAAAACCUGAGCUCUGUUCUCUGUUGGUUUGCAGAUUUCUUUGGAGUUCAUCAGCUGCCCACAGAAUCUGCUCGGUGAUUUGCUGAGCUUUAACAUUGUCCUCCAAGAAAACUGGGUUUUGUUUGUUUAUGAUUAGACGGAGGAGAUUAGUCUCAGUCCAAUGGUCUUUAGUUGAACUGUUUUCCCUGUACUUGCAAGGAGAAAGAGAACAGGAUAUAGAACAGAGGCUAAGGAGUGGAAACAGUAUCUACCACUAGAUUUUGUCCUGCCGAGUGGGCUCUUUGCUAAUGUUGAAAAGGAUCAAGCAGUAGAAACUGGUGGAGGCCAUUCAAAGUCCUUAUCCACAUAAUAACAAUAAAUAUUAAUAUUUAAAUUAUUUGUGAUCCAUCAAUUUUCAUUCAUAUAACAUAAAAUAUUAAAUAGGGAAAUCAGAAAUGCAGUAGAAAUUGAAGGUUGUGUGUAAGCUAAUGCCUGUCACUGAUAAUUAGAUGAAUGAUAUGGCCUGAGCAGUGUUUUUGGUUGGUGUAAGCCAAUAUCUGAAAUCAUAAUCACCCAAGAUUAUAACAAGAAAUGACUGAUUCCAGGACACUAAAUUCCAUUGAUUUUGCCAUUGGUGGAGGUGUUUGAAAAUUCAAGCAGAUAUAGGAGCUGAAACAUCCACUCAUUUAAUAUGGAUUUCAGAUGAUCAAAAAUAGGAGAAUCUGUUUGGUCUAAAGAAGAAAUCCCUGAUAAAGUUUCUUCCAAUACCUAAAGGAUAUGAACUAGAUUGAGGGUUUCAGAGAAUAGUAUCAGCUCAGCUUAGUUUGUUUUCAGCAAACAGGCACAAAACAAUUGACCAGUAAGUCAAGCUCAAGCAAUUAGACAGAAAUAAUUGGCAACAUCCAAGGAUGCAUGUGGUGUUAAAAUGGAUCACAUCACCUAUCUUCUUCUUCUUUUACCUCUUCUCUCAAUUAAUGGCCAUGGUGGUCCAUCCCAUGCUUUUGUGGAAAUUGAGCACUUCUAAGCCUAUCUAUCUCUCAUGGUCAAACCAUCACAUGUUCUUAUUCUUACAGCAGCAAACCUUGACACAGUUCUCUUUUCAUUUAUGUUUGUUUCCAGUCACACUAAAAAAGAAAAAGAAAUUAUUGAAUGCACACUAACAAAGCUCGAGUACUCGAGACGGUUUGUUGUUGUUGUUGUUGUUGUUGUCGGAAGACUAAUCCGGUCAUAGAUUCUUCUGUCGAAUUAAAUAGAUUGGAAUAUAUUUCAGUCUAAUAUGAUUGUAUUCUUAACCUAUUUUUUUCUUUUUCUGGUCAUGGCUUUUUCUAGUCAAUGAAUUAAUCUAAAAAAAAUAGCUAUGCUUCAACAUUAGCCAGCAUUUGCCAGUUGAUCAGGGUUGCUUAUACAUCAUGCCUCUAUAUGAUGUCAGCCAUGACCAAAUACUUGGUGCUAUCUAAAUUUCAGAACAGACAAAGUAAAAUAACUACAUCAUUCAUUAAUUGUCAAGAUAUCAAAACUAAACUCUCUCUCUCUCUCUCUCUCUCUCUCACACACACACACACACACACACAUCAUGUGCCACAGUGAUGAUCUCAGAUGUCCACACUGUGAGCAAAUUGUAAUCCCAAGAAUCAUUAUUCUAAUUGUGCAGGACUGGUGGGAUAAUGUUUUCCCAAUCUGAGCAACUUCUAACACAAUUAAAACGAUGCACUAAGAUGAGAUAAUUUUACACAGAUGAGAGACAACAAACACUAUCUCUAGAUCAAGGUAAAAUCUGCUACUCACAGCCUUUUUCCUUGUGGUCUGUACAACACAAAUGACAACAGUAAUCCUAGAUGAAAUAGUGUACUGAUAUAAGGAAAAUGGAAACCAUUAGAGCGAAGAAGAAGAAGAAAAGAAAAAAAAGAAGAUAUGAGUAGCCAGCUUAGUUUGCUUCUCAUACUUAUUAGCCCAGCUGUGAGAGCUGAAUCAAAGAGUACUCAUCACAGCAUUAGUCCACAGACAGUUCUUGUAUGACCUAAAAUACUUGACAGGGUUUUGUAGGGAACCAGCCACUGCAGAGAUAUUGGAUCAUUAGAGAGGUAAAGCAAAAACUGCAUGAGGAAUCAGAAGAUGGCAACUAAAGAUAAGAAUUAAUUUGUAAUCCUUCCUAGCAUACAUAUGGCAGGCAUGUAUGUAUUUAGAAUAUUCCAUGUGCAGUUUUUCUUGGGAACUCAGAAGAACCAAAGCUUGUGUUUCUUUCUUGUGGAAAAGGCUCAAAUGUCUGAAACAGUGACAGCAUAGCAAGAGAUGAUCUCUUGGUUGAGAAUUAGUGAACACAUAGCUGAAAGCAGAAUACAGGCUACAAAAAUGAAAUGUUAUGCUACAGCGCUUCAAAAACAAGGUGAGGGCAUAAUUUAGAGACCCAGGUUUGGGUCAAAAGAGAAUGUAUAAGAAGAGAUGCAAUCAUCUAAACGAACAAUCAUCAUCUAAUUUGCAAUUUGCUUGAUGAGUUUGUGCAGAAAACCACCAUUUCAAUCUAACACUGCUCUAAAAGCAAACUAAAUUCCAUCAAGAUUAUUUCCUGGUCUGCUAAUAUUCGCAUCCACCACUGGUAUCUUUUCCUUCUCUCUUUGAUAGAGAUAACUGACACAGAUCAGGAACACCAUACUUAUCAGGUUGCAUUAGUUCCUCCCCUUGCAGCAACAUCACCAGGUUUCUUCUCUCUCAUGUGUAUAUCCUGCGCAAAUGAUGUAUGGCUUCCAUCAUACAAUGCUUGAUGCAAAAGCACUUGGAACAAGUCUUCUUGGCUAUAUUAUGGUACGAUCUCCUUUACAAUGCAUGGCGGAGGAAAAGUAUGGCAGUGUGAGGCUGCAUUCUUUCUGACUCCAUUGACGGCAUUUUUGUCUUGUCCAUGAAUAGGUAAUUAAUGCGAAGAAAGCUACCGUCGAUCAAUUAUAAAUUUUAAAUAUCUAAUACAAUUAAAAUAUCACAUGAAAACUAGUGUUCACCAAUUAGAAGAAUCCUUCAUGGGUUGACGGCCACGAGACGCAGCUGUCGAUCAGUGGAUAGCCAGUUCUCUGAACCCUGGCUCGGUCGAGACAAGGUGUGUCGGGUUCGUUUUCUUUUUCUUUUUGGUACGCGUAAAUCAAUUUAUGCGAGGUGGAAAGUCUUAGUGGACCUCACAGGAGCUCCUUCAGUCACCAAUGAGAAAUUAUUUUCGUGGGGCGACAGCCACGAGCCGCACAGUUGUCGACCGGUGGAUGGUGAAUUCCGUGUAUCGUGACUCGGUCGAUACAGGGUUUUCUGGACUCUUUUUCUGUUUUUUUUACGGUGGCAGACAAAAAGCUCAGAUUGUACAAGUGGAUGUCUACGUGGAUGUGGUCCCGGUUAUCCGCCUCAUGCCACGUGUUCCCAUAUCGGACAAUCGCUACGGUGGGUAGACGCGGGCGAGUGAGGACGGGCAAAGAGUUGGCUUAAACGCUCGUCUAACGGCCGAGAAGCGCCGUUAAUCACAAAUAAUCGGACGCGGCAUUAUCCGAUUGCAAACUCACCGCAAAAAAUUACUGCUCACCAUAUACCUGCCUGUCUCAUGACUGGUCCCACUGAUGAGGCUGAUGGGUCGAACGGGUAGGAAUACCCGUGGCUAAACGAUGCUCAAGUGGGACCUCGAGUUGCCUUGAAAGUCCAACUAACUAUACCUUAUUUUUCAUUAAAAGUCACCGAAAACAAAAUCCAGAAACGUUUUUGUUUUACGCAACAGUUACAAGAAACAAAACAAGCGGCUAAUGUACGGCGUCAACGCUCCGGUAAUGGCGGGAGUGCAUGUCUGAGCUUGCUAAUUGUGGGCUGCUAAACCCUGGUUAAGAUAGCCAAGCUUCUUCCGGUCACUUCGUCUCACUAUAAAAGAUGGCCGCCGAUUCCCGAUCUGGGUUCCCGUUACCGUCUGUCCUUGCUCUCGUCGUCGAUUUUGCUUCUACUCACCGACUCCAUCAGCUGCUUCAGUAGAGGUAAACGAGUUUAGGAUCGUAAUCAAUUGCUCGUUCUUCUGUUACGCUGAUGAUGAUUUGAUCAAACAGGGGAAGGGAAUCCCCCGUGUCGUUUUCGAAUCGAUCCUAUGGUGCUCGAUGCCCCCACUUGAUUUGUUGCUAAUUCUUUAUCUUUUAGUCUCUUUGGGAUCUUUCUGUGUGAUUGCUGGAGAUUGUUGAUUUGAGCUUUGCGUAUAUUCGUGAAACGGGUUCUUGAAUCGAAUCGAGACUUUUUAGUCGUUUUCUUUGCUUUACUUCGGUGUUACCUUUCUUUUCGGACCAAAAGUCACAUUUUUUCAUGUUAAUUGAGCUUAACCCCAAAGUUUAAUGGGGAAAGUUACAGUCUUUUUUGUGUUUUUGGUAGUGUUUGAUAUAAUUUAUACAACGGAAGAUGUGAUUUUACAAGAAUUUCAAUUUCAAGAUCAGUGGUCUUUUCUGAACUUGCGAUGCUUAUUUGUUUUUCUCUUGUACUAUGUUUUUUGAGAGAAGGAAGCUUUACCAUUUAUUCUGGCUGCGUUUGACCUUGCAUUUAUUUUGCUUUUCUUGAAUCAGGUUUGAUAUGUGCCCUUCAGCCCCAAUAUCUCUUCAGCUUUGUAUCGAUAAACAUUGGUCUGAUGAAGAAGUUAUACAGUUAUUAGGAGGAAGAACUAUUGGGGAUCUGAUCCUGGCGAAUCUGAUCACUGGGGUCGAUCCUUUCAACAUCGAACCAUCGAAUUCUUCUGGUUAGCCUUGAAUUGAUUAAUACUUAUACCCUUGUCGUGGUUUGCAUACAACUGUCAGGUAUCAUGACUCUGAAUCUUGAUGUUUGUGACGAGUUGUUUUUUCCUUGCACUGUUAAUGGUGUGGAUAUAUCUAGCUUCCGAAGGAUUGAAUGUCAUUACAUGGAUAUUUCGUAUCUUCUUUUACAUUAGAGAUUGUGCUUUUAUGUAAAAGAAGGGGCUUGAAAGCAAUAACUUCUAACAUCAGCGAAAAUUGUGGAAACUUAAUAGCCUUGAAUACUAAUGUUCUUUUGUCAUAGAUUCUAGUAACUUUUUAACAAUGUGGAAUUCAUUGCAAAUAUGAGCAAAAGAUCAGGUUGUUCUUUUGCUUGUAACUUGAUUAGGCAUGCACGACCACCAAGGACAUCCACUUACAGUUUAAAUUCUUUUUCCAUAAUUUUGCUAAAUCUAGAUUCUAAAAGUUCGUAAAGCGAUCUACAAAAAGGUCAGAAUCCUCUAAUGAUGUGAAUCCCUUGCAAUUGCAAUUUGCACUAAUAUUUAAGUGGAGGAGGUAGACUAAUCCAUGUCAGUUACAUUGAGAUUAAGUAUCCAUAUAACCCUGUGAGACUUCCAAAAAAAAAAAAGAAGCUAAAUGCAUGGACAUUCAUCAAGGGAAAAUAUUUUGUUUUAUCAGCUAGCAAUGUAGUUCCUAAGUUUUCUUGAACACGUAGAGUGAACAAGCUUACUUUUUGAAGGAAAAAAAUACAAAACUUCAACCCUGAGUGGAAAUAAGAGCUUCAGCUUGUUCUGUUGUUCUCUCUCUCCUUUAACACUUUAUUUAUGUUGCACUUGAUAAGUUCGAUUAGACUGCAAAAAGGAAAUGAAUAGGGAAUAUUUGUUAUGCAGAAGAUUCUUGGUACUUGUGCAACUCCAAAGGCCAGCAAUAUCCGAACAGGAGAAAUACAAUUACAGAGACAAAGUCUGGAUUCUGGAGAAUAAAGGAUGAGUGCAGAAUAUUCACGAAUACCACUUGUGUUGGUAGGAAAACGACAAUGGAAUAUUAUGAAGGGAAAGUACCCAAGGGAAAUAAAACUAGGUGGAUGAUGAUUAAAUAUCAGGUAGAGUGUAAGACUGGGAAUGGGUUUAAUCAACAAAAGGUACUUACUACAUUUUUUUCCAUUACCUAGCCCAUGUUUUAUUUGUUUUGUAUACCUUUAAUUAUAUGAUUGAUAUGCACAAAUCUUUCCGCAGGACUAUAAUUCAUUAUGCCGAGUUUUCUUGCAAAAUGAUUGGACAGAAUACGAAGAACAACACUAUUCUGCUAGUGCCAAUGUUGGUGGUGAAUAUAUCAUCCAAUUGGUGCAAGUCUAUCGAGAACCAGAAGAAACAGAUUUACCUUCCAAAAAUGUGCUCAACAGAUCCCUGGUAGGAGACCCUAUUUAGUCUUACUACUUUUGCCAAAUUCUACGGAUUACUUGUUCGUAUUUAUGGACCUACAAUGUCUUCAUAUUUUCCUAAUAAAUACCUAUGGUCAUCAAAGUCACAUGCUGCAUCUUGAACUUAUUCAGAAUAAUCAUAUACUGAUUAUGGUUCUGUCGGUGCUCUGUAUAUUGUUAUCUUCCUAACUGAUGGUUUGUUUUUGUCAUUGCUACCAAUCAUUUGUCAGAUGUGGAACCCUGAAUUUUGUUCAGGGCUGUCACGUAUUGAAUGUGAUUUCUAUCCUUGCUCUAUCUGAUUGUUGUCUUUUCUCUUGUCAUUCUUUUUAAACUACUAUACAUUAAGACCUUUUCAGAAUCAUGCUCAAGCUUUGUGAUUAAUUUUAGUGUAUAUUUCAGUUGGACAAUUAAGAGGGUUGUUUCCUUGAAUGAGCAGGGGCAACCGGCAUUCUCUGAAAGUGUUGGUGAACCAUUACAUGAGAAUGUAGUGGAAGAGAUAGAAUCAAAUUGCAAUUUUUCAAUUGGAGAUUACCUGGAACUGAAUGAUUUAAUGAGUCCAGAGACAUCUUCAUCCAGUUCAAACAAUUCCAGCUGUGUGUCAAAUGAUUCUUAUGACUACUUUGAUGCUGAUGCAUUUUUGUUAUCUGUUGGGGAUGAAGACAACAUGAGAUCUGAUGAAGAAUAUUUAGAUCGUAGAUUUAGUAUCCCCAUCUUAAUUGAAUCAAGUCAGACUGCUGUUAGGCCUUCCUCACCAGGUAUGGCAAAUUUGUGAACUUUUAUUGAUUAGUUUAGGCACACAUAAUACUAUGUUAAUUUAAGAUGGUACCGUCUUAUAGUUUAAGCAUGUGUUAUAAUUAGGAUUCCAUGUUUGUAGCAACAUAUCUUCUUGUUGAACACUUCUGACUUUCUCAAGCUAACCAAAUGCUGGACUUCUGCAAAUCUUGUAGAUUAUUCAGGCUUAUGCUAUAUCAUAUCCAUGAUUAAGAUUUAUUCUUAAAAGCAGAUUGCCUCACUUUGGUAUCGGUUAAGUUAAAUUGGUUUUUGCUUUAUUGUGCAUGAAUUUUGUCCUGAGCAGAGAUCAAUAUUUGAUAUCUUUGUUGCUGCAAAUAAAUUCUCACCCUCAUGACAAACUUCAAAGAGAAUACUGUGUUUGUGUGUUUCUAGUUUGAUAUGGUGGAUGUUAUCUGAAAAAUGGCUAUACACAAGCACUUUACUUCACAAUAUCUGAAAAAGAUGCUAAUUUUAUAUCUUUUUAUUCGCAGGCUCAAUUCAUGGCAAUAACAAUAUCGUGACUGAAGAGAAUAUGGCUACCAGUUCACUGCCUCGAAACGAAAUUUUAGACCAAGGACUUCCUGUAUCUAAUGAGGAGGUGCAGCGCACGAGAGAUGAUAAAUCAGAAAAAUCUGAGGGCAGUCAGACAAACCAAGUUGCUGAUAGUUCAUUUGAUGUCAGGAGUAUGCAGGGUAAUGGAUUGAAGAAGACUGGUAAGAUUGCAAAGCUUGGCAAGAAAUACUGCUGCUUUGGAUCAUUUUAGUCAGUCAUCUCACUCAUCCUAUAGUUGUCGACAAAGUAGAUUAUGAGGUCAUUCUAAUGAAGAAUUGCAAUGGUCUAGCAACUUCGCUGGGAAGCUUGGGUUCAAAAUCUAGAGAAACACUGCCUUUUUUUUGUCAGUGUUCUUUGAACAAGAGUUGUCUCACUAAUUAGAACUUCAUCCGGAGGUGGUUAGGAAUUCAAGUUGCAGAUUUCAUUGAGAAAUCCUUGCCAUAUGGCAUAUUUUAUCUUCACACAGCUUCUGUUGUAUUGCACAAGUUACCUCAGCGGUCACAGUAUCAGUUACAUCUUCUGCUUUAUUAGGGGGCAUCUGGAGGAUCAUUGCUAUUAGGUUUCAUCUUAGAUUCACCCAGUUUAUGUGAAUAAAUAAAAUCAUAGCAGAUGGGUGUUGAUUUCACAGUAUGUUAAACAGUAUGUUUACAUUCUCUUUCUUGAUCUAAUGUGAAUUAUAUAGUUUGUUAUGUUUUCCUGUAUCUGCCUCUUACAAAUGCUCAUUUGUCUGCUAUUCCAUGACACUAUGUUGUGAUUGGUUGUUGAUUUCUGAUUUAUCACUGAGCAGUUGCUUUUGACUUGAUUUACCUAUACAAAUUCUUUCUCUGAUUUCUUGUCUUGCCAGCCAAGCUGUCAGCUCAGUGGAUAAAAGUAGCAACUUUUACCACCAUUAACCUUUAUCUAAAAAAAAAGUUGCAGCAAAGGAUGUAAGCUCAUGCUGCUUACAAGAGAAUAAAUCAUGUGUGCAGUGGGUCCUCAAAGAAGUCUGUAGAAUUCUAAAGAUAAGGAUCAACACUUUUGGGCUCACACUGCUCUUUGAUUUCCCUCAAAGACUCAGCAAAGUGAGAAGGCAUACAAAUAUGCAAAUUGCACAAAAGUUUUCCAUGCAUCAAGUGAAUCAUAUGAAAUAUUGCCAAUUCAGAUAAAUUGAGACCUUAGCAUCUGUAUCCUUAUAUAAGUCACAGAGAUGAUAAGAAGGCUCAUUCCUCUUUUUUCUUGGGAAUAAACCCAAACCUUCACUGCCUAUAAACAUCAUUCUUCAUGUGUACAUACUCUAUAUUAUCUAUGGUCGAUCAGAAUAGGACUUUAGGAUUGAAUCAUUUGCAGAAUAGUAUGUGGAAUAUAGUACUAAUGUGACCAUAGCAUUGGCAAAAAGAACAAAUGAGAAGGCAAAAAGCAGAUGGAUGAUUGAGAGCACUCGGAGAUUACACUUUCUCAGUGUACAGUACAAGUUUGGGAGACAGCUUUUCAAGGUUUAAAGAAAGAAGAGUUGGAUAACACACAUUUAUUACAGUCUGAGAUCUCUAUAUACUUAACAUAUAUCUGUCUAAUUAGAAGUCAAAUGCCUCUUUACAGCUACGAUGACAGAGGACUCGAGCACUUUGAUUCCCAUGGAGAAGACUUCCAUCGAGACUUAAUGCAAAGACAGAUUGCUGCAUGUUGCAUCACAUCUAGCAGUGACAACAAGUGAAUUGACUCUUGUCACUACUCUUUUAAGUCACAAGCUUGCGUGUUCAUGAACCGAUCCUCUAACCAGUAUCCAAAGAGUGAGGAAGACGCGGAGAGUCUGAGCUCAAUCAGUGUCCUUCUCAAAGCCUCUACCGCUGCACUCUUUGAGCGUUCUUCUUCGGCUCAUCUUCCUUCUGCAGUGUCUUCUUGACAGAAGCCUCGUGGCUUUGGAAUCCAAUAUUGCAGAAGCAAGCAGACGUAACAGGAAGAACGAGUACGGGAUUCAAACGAUGGCAAUCACUGAUCCAUCGCCGACACGAAGUCUAAAGAUGCCGCGCCGCUCCCCGGACUCAACGGUGCUACACGUCAUCCGACGGACCAGCGUCUUCGAGACUCGGGAUCGACGGCCACGAUUGUAUGGAUGUGGCGGGAAAACCGCAGUGGCGUCGCCCAUAGAUUUUUAGCCAGCGCCUUUCCCGGAUUGGUAGGAGCGGGCCCCAUGGCGGGGCCGGGGUCGCGUACGAACGGAAUACCUCCUCGUGACUGGGCGAAUGGUGGCGUCGUCUGUGGGGCCCGUUUAGCACCGCCCUCGCCUCCAAUCACCGGGCGAGUAGGUGUGCGGGUCCCGCCUGACUUCAAAUAAUCUACUUCACGGUUUCUGGCCGUCCUCACAUUAGCGGGUCAACCCGACCCGUUUAAAUAGAGUUUGGAUACUAUCGAAUCAUGGUUAAGAUAAAUUGAAGUAGAAAAGUUGGUAGCGAGUCAUUAAAUAAUUAGUUUGAUUUGAAUUCGAUAAGAGUACGUUUCUAAUAGAUUUAGAAUGGAAUCGAUAGUUAAUACUUCAGAGAAAACCAGUGAGUAAUACCAUCCGUUCUUAUCGUAUCGGGUCGGAUCUGUCACCCAAAACCAAAAGGCAAUGAGGGGCAAACUCGUCAUUUGAGAAAAGAUAACGCUCCAACUCCGUAACCGCUAUCUUCGAAUCCGAGGCGCGCCGCGGCCCGCACGACCCUCGUGCACGUGUCAGUUUUUGGUUGGCUCGCCCCUGGUCGUCGGGAUUCAUCGCCCGAGAGAGACAGGCACAAGAAAGGGUCAGAAAAGACGAGAAGAGAAAAGAGAACACUGUCACACUCUUUCUUGAUCUCCAAUCUCUCUCAAAUAAUUCCCCCCAUAUUCGCUCGAAUUUCGUCGAAAACGCCAACUUUCUACUGCAAUGAUCGAUCGCUGCUUCCAAUUUGGCGUGGGUAUCUGAUUCCUUCGACUUCUCGGAUCAUUAAUAUAUUUCUGUGUGAGAAAUUGAGGUGGAGGAGUGAUGCUGGGGAUGAGCGGCGGAUGCCAGCAGAGCUGCGGAGAGAGCAGCGAGGAGGAGCUAUCGGUGCUCCCGCGGCAUACUAAGGUGGUGGUGACUGGCAACAACCGCACCAAGUCGGUGCUCGUUGGCCUCCAUGGGGUCGUCAAGAAAGCCGUCGGCCUCGGCGGAUGGCAUUGGCUGGUAAAAUUGCAUUCUAUCCCUUGAUCCCCGAUGAAAUCUGGGUUUCUUGCUGGAAAUUUUGUUCUUUUCGGAGAUAUUCAGGUGUUUCGGUGUUGAAAUUUUUAGGGUUUCAAGUCAAAACCGAUUGAGGUUUUCUUUCCCAGGCUUCAAUUGCACAAUGUGGAUCGAUUUGGUGAGUUUAGGGUUCAAAUUAGUAGGUUUUUCUUGUUGUUGGCUUGGGCUAAGAAAAAGAUCGUUUGGCAUUGUGGGCCUUGAUAAAAGAUGGUCAUUUUCGUCUCUUUCACAUCUUUUCCUUAAAUCAAAGCUGCAUUUGUUUGGUCAAUUAUAUUUUUUAUGAUUUAAAGUGGGGCGAUUCGAAUAUUGGGAUUCUCUUUUAAACUCAAAUCUGGUGUGAUCUUCACAUCUUUCACUUUCUGCAAGCGAGACUUCUGUAUGUAACAUUUUACUGUUUCAUUUCUCUUUAACGAUAUCAUUUGAUUCGAGACGCUUUUUUAGUUUUCUUAUUCCAAGUAAUUUUAAGCGAAAAAGCCAUGUGUUGGCUUUAUUCAAGACCUGCCUAAUCACAAUCAAAUAUGGACAGCAUUUCAUAGUGAAUUGUCUUCUGAUUCUGUUUACUAGGAGCUCUGUGGACUUGAAUAUUAUGUGUGGUUGAUGCUAGUAGAGAUGUAUAACUUUGAAGGGUGAAAAAUGUGCUUUUCUCAUAUUGUAUUCUAGCUUGAUGUUGGAGUUUAGUGCAAUGGUAAGUCGAUGUUGUUGGUGGGAAUUGAAAAAAGAAGAGAAUGCAAAAAAAAAAGAUCUGUGUUUUUUUCCAUAUUAGAAUUUAAUUUUCAAUUGAAAAAUAUCAAUGUCUCAUUUGAUAUAAAGUCUGCUAUGAACUUCCCAUUUUGUUGCCUUGCACUCUGUGCACUUGCUAAUAUUUCCUUGUUCUACAAUCUACAUGAUAUGGACCACUGUUUUCCUUUCCAUGCGUGCUGUUUUUUCUGGCCUUGAUUUUAUAUCUCCUUUCCUUAUUUUGCAAUUGCCACUGACAUCAUUCAUCGAGUUUUCUAUAUAGCGAAACUGAAUGAAGCCAUUUAGCAAUUUCUGACUCUUUUGUUAUUUUUGUGAUCUCAAUUUUUUCUGGAUCUACUUCAUUUGCAUAAUCUAUAACCCACUUCAUUUGCAUGAUGCAGAUAGUUUGCAAAUUUGUUUGAUUAGGAUGAAUCCGCCUUCGAUUUUCUAUCUAUGUAGUUAAAAUGGAAAAUGAUGAUUGAUAACUCCAUCUAACAUGCAUGAUGACGUAUGUGGCAAAUAUUACCAUCCAUAAGAACGUUUUCUAUUUAUCUUUCGAGCCGACUAAAAUCUCCUGUUUAUUUUGGAGUGGGCGCUUCUGCGUACAAAAGAAAUGACUGCACUACUGUCCUCAGUGUGUGGGUUAGUUCAGUUGUCUGGUUGUUACAUGUGUGAACAAGAAAAACUUGUGAUGGCUCUAUACUGGUUCUUAUAUGUGUGUGUAACUGCUGCAACAAUAGUUGCAUAUUGUGGUGCCUUGAUUGUGUCACUUGCUUUGUAGUUAGUUUAUGUUUCUGACCUAUCUUCCUAGCUUUGAUCAGCCUAGAUAAAAUUAUUUAAUAUCCAUUGCAAUCUGUUUCUUUUUGCCUUUAAUAUGAACUAAUGCAUCACUAGUUAUAUUUUGAAAUUGCAGGUUCUGACUAAUGGUAUAGAAGUAAAACUGCAAAGGAAUGCCCUUAGUGUGAUUGAAGCUCCUAUAGGCCAUGAGGAAGAUGAUGAGACUGAAUGUGAUAACAUGCAUUGGAAUGGGUCAGACAUGGGUGAGCUUAUGUAUUUAAAUUAGAUUAUUAUUAAUGCUAGUGUUAUUCUCAAAUUUUGUGAAUCCAAUCUAAAGAUUUUCAUGUCUUCAAGAAAAUUGGGUAUAUGCAGUGCAUGAGGUUCUCGUCAAUGCGCAGUUUGGGGAGAGGCAAUAUAUGUUGUGUUACCUCUAAAUAUAGAGAUGCUAUUUCUGUAACUCGAAUCUUGAUCUCCUACGUCGCAAGGGAACAACCUUAUUAUUGUUCCAAGGCCCGCCCUCAUAUUUAUGUCUUCAAACCCUAUUUAAUAUUGUUAUGUCUUCAUGUUAUAAAUUAAUUGAAAUAACUCGGUUUUAAUUGUGAGUGAGCUGACCCUAGCUCAGUUUGGCUUGGGUUUGGCCUAGACUGGACCCAGCUUAAGUCGGACUGGUUGGCUAGGGCAGACUGGACCUAACUUGAGUCAGGUCCAACCUGACCUGCACCAACCCAGCGGGCUAGCAUGGCCCAGCGUGUGCUGACCCACUGGCCCAAUGUGACUGAACUUGAACUGGAUUCAGGCAGAGUGUCGUCGAAUCAAUCCAGUCCGGUUCAAGCUGGAUUUGGAUGAUUUGGCUGGGUUUGUAUGAUUUCAGUUCAGUUCAACUCAGAUUUGGGUGAUUUCAUUCCAGUUCAAGCUGGACCCACAUGAUUCCAGAUUGGUUCAGGGUGGACCUGGGUGAUUCCAAAUUGGUUCAAGUCGGUUCAGCUCAAAAUUAGGCAGGUUCAACUAGGUUUUAGACCAAUCUUGGAGCUAAUGGGCUCGGUAUGUUGCAAGUCAGCAUGUUUAUUUUGACUUUUUUAUUUACAAACAGAACUGCACUUAUCAUCCAGGCCAUGAAAAGCCAUGUUUUUUAGUACAUCGUGAUAGAUUGGAAUUAUUCUUUAGAAAGAGCAUCGUUGUUGCUGAGGUGGGAUAUUUUUAUACAAAAAUAUCUUUUGCUGCUUUAGUUAUGGCUUUUGGCAUGGUUUUAUCAUGUUUUUAUCCUCUCGAACUCAAUUUUUUACUGUAACCAUAUUUUGCAGCAUCUGAUGAUAUGAAAUCACAAAAGCCACACAAGUCAAGGGUUAGGCACCACAAAGGAUCAUCUAACAAAUCCUUGAGUCGGUCUUAUUCUUGUGAUUCACAUUCCAAGGGGUCUGUCUCAUCUUCCAGGGGUACAACGGUAAGCUUGUACCAACAACUUCUGCAUGAAAAAUGCAUGCCAUGGAAAGGCUAUAGCAAAUGUGAUUCAGCUUUUGGGUCUUAGCACCUGACACCAUUUGCUCUUGUAUUUGCUAUAUGACAUUGCUGGUAGACAUGCUACAGAAUGCCUUGGGUGUGUUUCUGCAGUCUUGACAUUCUUGAUUGAUGUCCUUUGUGUGACUUUCUUUCUGCAAAUAUAUGGUCUCGAUGCAUUUUAAAGUUAUCUUUGUGCUUCUUACAAAGAAAUGUUCUUAUGUGGUCGGUGCAGAAAGUUGAUCUGAGCAAACUAGAAACAAGAGCAUUAUGGAGAUAUUGGCAUCACUUUAAUCUCGUAGGUUCUAAAUCCACGAUUACUGUUUCAUAGUUAAUAAGUAUUGAAUUUCCCCCAUUGAUGCAACAUCUCAUUGCCUGUAUUAUCCUUUGAUUUCAUUUUUUGGUCUGGAUCAGGUGGAUGCCAGUCCUAACCCCUCUAAGGAACAGCUAAUUGAUGCAGUCCAGAGGCAUUUUAUGUCACAAGUAAUUUAGCAAUUUCGUCAUGUCACUUCGUUUAUGUUUUCUCGUAAGAGUAGAUUUCUCAACAAUAGAUUGACUUGGGAUUCUCCACACCCAAUUGCUUGUUGUGCAACCUGAAGCAAUUGGAUGAGUUGCAGGUUAUUAUAGGAUUUGCACAGGCUGCAAAGAGACUCAAGAGUGUGCAAAUGACCCAGUGAGGAUUACAGCUUUCUACAUUAAUGCUAACAGAUUUGUAGUAAGCCUUUGCUGUUUGUAGUCACGUUAUGUAAAAUAUGUAAGCUCAACUUGGAUGUUUCGAUGACUCGGUCAGCCGUUUCGAUAUCUAAAAAUUCUCUUUAGUCCUAUAAUGUAGAUAUGUACUCCAGUAAGGAUCAUGCAGCCAUUAUGGUUAUGAACAUUGCCAAUGAUGAACUACUGUGAGGAAGAAAUGGCAUGUUUUGUCCAUCCUUUUUAGUGACAAAUCUUAAAACUGAAGCACAGUGAUGUAUUAUUUUUGGUCAUUCUGUAGUCUCUCUGUUAUGCUCUUGUCAUAUGUGUUUCUGCGAUGGCUGUCUGCGAAGUAAGCAGAACAAUUCCAAGAAGUCGUAGGUAUUAAGACAACUCUCCAUUGGAGAAAUGGCUAAAAGGAAAGCUGUAUCAGUUGGAUUUAAUCUAUUUUUCCUCCUUAAACUUGCACUGUUAUGUCAGGUUAUUUAAUCGAUGCAGGUCUCAAUUAAUCUAAGGAGCUCUCAUACUUUCUGAUGUCAAUCUGGUGUGCGUACGAAUUCAUGUAACGUACGCACAUGCUAAAGCAUGCAAUAUGUUGGUUUAGUCAAUGCUGGAGUGUUAACGACGGCCAAAUGCGGCGCAUGACAACAUGUCAAUGAGUUGACCACAAACGCAUUAAUAACAGCCAUCCAACACAGAAAAGUUCAAUCCUGACGUGUGACGUACGGAAGACGGUUGCGCGUUGACCAAGACUCCCCCCCUUCUUUACUUAGACAUUCUGUGCAGCCUACCUAUAUAGACAAGUGUAUGUUUCAUUUGAUUGACUUAGUUCGUGAUAAAUAUGCUACAAAUGCCCAGGAGAAAAUCUAAAUCGGACGCUUAGAUUUAGAUCCUAGUCAAAGUCAAGGAAACUUCCAACGCAAAUGAUGAACAGAGUGCACGAACAAGUGCUCGAGAGCUACACAGCCUUUUUUGAAGGCAAACGAGAAUACAAAUACAAACUUCCAAGUGUUGACAGCGGACUUCUUCCCACCAAUGAAAGACCACCGUGACCAUUUCCCCCUCCUUGUUGCCGACUCCGACUCCGCCGCUAUAUAAACUCCCCAACCCUUCCCCUUGUCAGUGCCAUCUCCACCACCACUUCCUUUCCGGUUUGUAACGGUGGUGUGUAAGCUCCCAACAUGGUUGUGGCCGAGUUAACAGUCUCCACUGUCACAUUGGGCAAGGCAGCCUUCGCUGAGAAUAAUGAAGGCCAGUUCUUGCUAAGCCCCAUCGCUGAUCUAAUGAUGCAGCAGCAGCAGGAGAAGGAGGAGAAGAAGGAGAAGAGCUCAUGCAGUGAGGGCAAGUGCAAGCUGGUGGACUACAACUCGUUGCCUAACUUCUUGAAGCAUAACGAGUUCAUCCUCGACUACUACCGAUCGGAAUGGCCGAUGAAGCAGGCCAUCCUUAGCAUCUUCUCCAUCCACAACGAGACCAUCAACGUUUGGACGUAAGCUUUCUGCGCUGCAUCCCAACCCUGGCCUAAACCAGUCCGUGUUUACGUCUCUUCGCUGACGAAGCUAAAUGUUUUCUCUUUUAGGCAUUUGAUCGGGUUCUUCAUCUUCCUCGCGCUCACCGUCGGAGCUGCGAUGAUGGUUCCGGUGGGAUCGAGCAUGGCCUCGUCGGGAGCGUCAGAUUUGGCUAACGUCUCUUCCACCAUCACCGACAUCAGUGGCUCCCUAAGGCUUCACCACCAUGAAUUAGUGGCCUUGUCCUUGUCGCCAGCCAACCUCACCGGAGCCACCGCCGACGCAGUCGAACAAGCCACUCGGUGGCCCUUCUACGCCUACCUCUGCGGUGCCAUGCUCUGCCUGCUGAUGAGCAGCACGUGCCACCUCCUCUACUGCCACUCCGAGCACACAUGCUACCUCAUGCUCCGCCUCGACUACGCCGGCAUCAUCGCCCUCAUCGUCACCUCCUUCUACCCGCUCGUCUACUACUCCUUCCUCUGCCAGCCCUACUUCCAGUACCUGUACCUCAGCUUCAUCACCGUGUUCGGGAUCGCCGCCCUACUCGUCUCCCUCGUGCCGGUGUUCGAGACGCCAGAGUUCCGGACGGUCCGGGCGGGGCUGUUCGCGUGCAUGGCCCUGUCCGGGCUGGUGCCGAUCGUGCACAAGGUGAUGUUGUUCGGCGACCAGCCGGAGGCGGUCCUGACGGCAGGGUACGAGGCGGCGAUGGGCGCGUUCUACGGGAUCGGGGUGAUCGUCUACGCCACCAGGAUACCGGAGCGGUGGAUGCCGGGGAAGUUCGACCUGGCCGGGCACAGCCACCAGCUGUUCCACGUCCUCGUCAUCGCAGGGGCUUACACCCACUACCUUGCCGGCUUAGUCUACCUCAGGUGGAGAGACUCGGAAGCAUGCCAUUAACACCAGCGUUGAACGGUGUUACUACGAAGCCGCCAUUGCAGUUGUUGACAUGACUCACUCAAACCGGAGUGGUCAACAAAGGAGUUCUAAUCUGUAUGUUGUGGUCGUACCUUUUCACACUUUGUUUGACUUCCAUUUGUCCAAUAAGAUGUUCUUUGUUCUUAUUUCGUUUGACCAUAUGACAUGCUUUGGUACAGUUGUAAUAAUAAUAAUAAUAAUAAUACAUCAUAGUUCUUUCAAUGUUAAGGAAAAUUGCUCAAAAGUUUUGUGUCAAACAAAUGUUUCUUGGAUUUAGAGAUACAUAUAUUGUCCAGUUUUUGAGAGAGAAGUAUAUCGAUCGAUGUAAUGGAAUGCUCCUCUAAACUUCAGAUGGUAGUAGAACUGUCGUAGAAGAAACGUUCAUCCUACGAUUCACAUGUACAAGUCAACAACAAGGGGCGGUCGCUCAACCGCAACACUUAGUUGAAGAAGACCUUUGACUCGUACUACAGCCUUUUUCAUGUGACGACAAAGUUCCCAUCAGUUCUGGGUAGAUGAACAAGUACUUCUCUAGAACUAUGAAAUCAUUUUAAACAGAGGAAGACACAGAUGGAUGGAUUCAAGAGGUCGUGUUAUUGAUGUGAGAUAGAUAGAUCGAGUAGAUGAUAAAUAGUUGGAAGACAUGAGAACAACAUAUCAAAUUUUGUCUAGAUAAGAUAGAUAAAAUACUCUUAAACCCAUUAGGAGAACAUGAUAGAUAUUAUGCUAAAGAGACUCUAGAAUAGCACUUUUUGAUGAGAUAUAUGAGCAAGAGAUUUCGAGAAAAUUAAUAUUUUUUAAUUAUAUGAAAUCAGUAAAUAACUAAUAUUUGAAUCCAAAUAUUCGAGAAAAAAACAGAAUAUUUGAUGGAAGAACAAAAGAUCCUUUGGAACAACUUGUUAUAAUAGGAUAGUUCUAUAUUUUAUAAUUAAUUCAUUAAGUUGAUGAUAAAAUCCAUGGAUGUGCACACAACAACUCUAUCUGAUCAUAUUAGUUUUUUUUUUUUUGGCUAGGAAAAAACUUCAUUAUAUUAAAUAAAAUUCAAGAUAUCGUAAGAUUCGAAUAUGAGACAUAUUACUUGUGCAAUAAUGUACUAAUGAUUGAGAUGUCUCAACAAAAUUCACAUGCCUUGUUUAAUAUAAUUAUUUUUUAAAUUUUAAAAAUACUAUUUAUCCUACCAUCUUAUGAACACAAAGCCAAUGCAUAAAACCAACCUAUAAAACCUAGAGAUAGAAAAUUAUUGAUUGAUUGGAAGGAGAAGAGACAGAAACAAGUUUCUGUUUGAUGUGCUAAUUUUAUCUAUAUGGUACAAUAUUUCUUGUCUAUAUCCACUGAAAUAAAGUUUUCUUAAUAUGAGAUCAAAUUAAAGUUCUCUUAAAUUAACCCUAACUUAAACAUGAAUUCCAAGAAUUUUUCUUUUUUUGUCACUCUCUCUAGAAUACCCAAAAAUAAAACCUAGAAGCACCCAUAGUAUUUAUAAACAUCCUUCUCCUAUCAAAACCUAUAAAUAUACAAGUAUUUAUUGAAUGACUAAAUCAUGUUUCUGUGGUUACUCUCCUUGGCAAAGAAUUAUUUUCAAAAUGAGAUUACUUGUCCUAACUCUAAGAAUACUUGCCUUAGGAAUCCAUAAAUACAUAUUGACCCAUCACUUUGAUUAGAAAAACAAGAGGUUGGUCUCUUGUUGUCUCACACCACAUCAACAUUGUUGAAUUGAAUGAGCACCUGACUUCUCCUAAAUGAAACUAAUAAACCUUGAAUGGGUAACAAGAUUUUGAUCUUUUAUGGCCAGGGAGUGAGUUUUUAGCAAUUUGAUCAACCGAGACUACAUUCUAUGCUUCACUAUAACAUUUAAGUAAAAAAAUUAAUUUAAUGAGUUCAUAUCAGUUUCUCACAAGAUAUGCAUAUAAUUUACAUUUGAGGCACUAAGUCUUUAACUAGAGAUAUCAUUCAUCUAACUGGACCCAAAUAGUCAAGACAUUAUGACUUAUCAUUCAUGUCAGUAGCAACUACUAAUGCAAUCAGGAAGAUGACAACAAUGAAAGAAAGAAACUAAUAAAGCAAGCACAGGAAAAAUAACCAGUUUUUGACCGGUGAAAAUAAUGUGCUUGUGGGACCCGGCGCAGGGCCUCACAACCUGCAAUCAAAUAGCAGGUAGCCGAUUCGAGUACAAAGCGGGUAGAGAAGUUACUUUUGGAAAUAAACCAUCGUAUGUUAAUGCGGAAAGGAUAAGUUUGUAUACCUGUUUCGAGCCUCUGCCGGAACACGUUAAGUGCUUGAGGUCUUCCUGACCCACACCAGACCGGCUCCGUCCGGCAAGUUCCGUCCGCGGCCAAAUCCCCCGGCCCUCUGAUUCGAUGCACCGCCUCUCGCGGCUGUCCACCUCCCCCUACCCGCCCCUGCGGCGGCCUCAUCGUCAAUGAUGACGCUCCGUCGCUCGGUCGGCACCGUCCGCUCCUGUCCACAUCCAGAAAGCUGCCCGAUGGACCUGUUCACCGCCCCCGUCCAGCGACCUCGCCUGCCAUCUUCUUUUACUUGGACGGGGUUCUCCUGCGAAGGAUCGGCGGUGAUUUUCUCAGAUCCCUUUAUCUCCUCGGACUCCUCUUCCGCCGUCGCCAUCGCCAUCGCCGCCUCUGUUCCGCCGUUCUUCUCCCUAUCAGCUUUUCCCUUGUUCUUCUUCUUCUUCUUCUUCUUCGGAUUCUGCUUCCGACCUACUUCAGGAUUGGUAUCACUCCCAGUGGAUUUUCCGAUCGGGGGGACGUGAACGGCUCCACUGGCGCUCCCCUUCGCCCCGUCCGCAUCGGGAAUCCGGGGCGAUGCUAGCCUCGCGACCACCCAUUUUUGGCGGUUCGAAGGCCACUUGUGCCUCGAUCCGAGGGUCCUCCGGUGGGGCUUCGGGAUCAACAACUCAUCCGCCUUCCGCCUUUCCUCCGCCGCCUUCUUUUCAUUUUCUUCUUGCUUGAGAUUGCGAAGCCUCUCUUCAUCAUCGUGCUUCUCCUUGAGGCGCAGCUCUUGCAGAUGCUUAAGGCUGACGAAGUUCUUGGGAAUGGAGGAGGAGGAGGAGGAGGAGGAGUUUACCUUGGCCGCCGUCUCCAUGAUGGAUGCAUCGUGCUUCUCCUUUAACUGCUUUAGAGUGACAUAAUUAUUGGGAAUGGAGGAGGAGGAGUUUGCCUUGUCCGCCUUCUCCGUGAUGGAUGCAUCGUGCUUCUCCGAUAGCUGCUUGAGGGUGACGUAGUUCUUGGGAAUGGAGGAGGAGGAGUUUGCGUUGGCCGUCGUCUCCAUGAUGGAUGCGUCGUGCUUCUCCUUCAGCCGCUUGAGGGUGAUGUAGUAGUUCCUGGGAAUGUAGGAGGAGGAGGAGUUUGCGUUGGCCACCGCCUCCGUGAUGAAAGACUAUUGUUCCGUCGACGGUUCUCCGACCCUCGUCUUUCGUCUCCCUAAUCCUCUGGUCUAACAGACGAAGCGCAGGAGACGAAAAUAAAGGGAUCGCACCCCGACACUUCUGGUCCCGUCGUGCGGGUACGGAUUGAAUAUUGCUCAUCGUAGGUUUGCCUGUCGCCACCGCGAUGGGUUCCAAGCGGGUCCCUUCUAUGAACCGCCUGGUGUAUGAAGCGGGUGAUCUAGCGACGGCAUCCGAUGCGCUUACGGCGAUGGUUGGGGGUGAGGUAGGCGACCGUUCGUAGAUCUUUGUUUCCCCCUUCUUCGGUAGAGAAGAGGUUGAACAAUCGAUAAACAGUACGAUAGCAGCAUAAAAGAUGAGCAAUUACAGCAAUUACAACUUCCACAAACAAUUAUGAAGAGAGCACGAUAAAACAGGGGGGAAUUAUAUGGAAUGGUUGUGAUGUGGAUGAAAGAGCAAGCAAUCCAUAGCGGCAGUGAUUACAGUUUAUGAAGCAGAAAUGACCAAACUAAAAUUUCAUAGAUUAAAUGUCUACCAGAGGAAGUCCUUCGAUAUAUUAUGGAGCAGACUCGUUGACUAGCAAAAGAAACGUAAACGGAGCUCAACAACCAGAAGACCACUGAAUGAUAUAUGUAUCAUCCAACACAUGACACUAGAGGCUUCAAGCUCCUUCCAAAUAUUAACUAAGACAGACACACAGAGCAGACUAGCAGAAGAAUGAAGAAAAGAGCUCAACAACUAAAAAGACCACUGAAUGAUUGAUUUAUCAUCCAACACAUGAAAAUAGGGGCUUCAAGCUGUCUCCCAUGCUGGAGGCCGAAAGAGUCCUCUGUGACAAACAUAGAGCUAAGGGGUCAACUUCAUUGUAGAUCAAAAGAGCAUAGUAGAAAAUUACAUGAAGGCUAAGAAAAAACAGUAAUCUACUGAAAUUUAUGCCACACUUGAAGCGAGGGAUCCUAAGAAAGAAAUGGCAUAUCGGCCUAUGAAACAAAAAUACCACAAUAGUAUCAUUUCUUUGGAAAACCUUGGCUUUUCCUAUUUAAGUGUUGGCCUCUUGAUGUUGAACUACAUGAAUAUAUGAUUUCAAAUUAAGUUUCCGAUAUUCGUAUAGAGCAUCCUAUGAUGACUUUAUAAUUCCAUCUAUUGCUUCUUCAUGGGCUAUCAUUACCAUAAAGUACACCUUUUGAUAAAUAGGUUAAUUGUACAUGUAAUUAACAGUUACCAUAAAAUGUGAUCUGUUACUCUAUAUAUUCUAGUCUUAAAUAUUUCAUACUGUUGUAUCGAUGACCCUGUUUCAUUUUGAAAAUCUGAACUGUGGCUGCAUCUAUAUCAUGUUAAUCCUAAAUCUGUGUCUGUGGCCACAUCUAAAACAACACUGUGCAAGAUAAAAAAAUUAACUGCCUUGUGUAAGACAUUGCCAUAAUUAUUGCCAGUUGAUGUGUACUCACUGAUUUAGGCAGAUAAUUAUAUAGAAAAGCAAAUCUUCCUGCUAAGCUGAUUAAUGCUAUCAAUACCUUUGAUGAUAACACAACCAACUAAUUUAUUUGGACAGGGUAACAGGUGUAUACAGGGGUUUGAGUUUUCAUAGUUGUACUUCCAAGAUUUAAUAAAUAAUGAUGCACUUCAUAAGCUUGAGAAAUUGGCAUAAAACUAUUUCUCUGUAUAGCAAUGAAAAAGACAUCUUAGGAAACAACUAGUUAAAUAUGUCUAAGCAUACGGUCAGACAAGGGUGUGACCUAAAGUGGCUCACACAAAAGUUGAUGAAGAUAAUUUGGAACUUGCUCGAAAAGCAGUCCUUUCCAAGAAUCAAGAAUCAAACGAGUAACAAACAAUUGAUUGCCUAUCCAAAAAUCAGGGACUCAGGUUAAAGGUUGGAGGUGCCAAUGUAAUAACAUUGUAAAGAAAAUACACAUAACUAGUCUUAAAGAUGGCUUAAACAACAUGCCAAAGAAUUUCCACUGCAUGGGCAAUUAGGUAAUGGUUUAGGGUCCUAUAAUACUUGUACAGAUGGAUUGGAGAUUAACAGUGUGUGUAAAACAAAGUUUAUUUACAUAAAGGAUAAAAUUUCAAAAAGAAAAAAAAGUAAUUCAAACUUAAUGCAAGCAAAAAUAAUGUACACAAACCAUGGAAGGGUUUUAAUUAAAUUGCACUGGUAAAACAUAUAGUUCCUUUUCACUGACAAAAAUGUUGACAACGACAUGAAAAGUGACAAACUUCUUUCAAAGUGAAUUGAUCAACAAGAAUAUUCAUGGCUGGUAGCAAAGAAUGUAUACAAGAGUAAACUGAUGAUAGGUAUGGCAGCAUAAAUUCUUUGAAAUACAAGAAAUUUGGGAUUAUACAAUGCACUAACAACUAUAGACCAACAACAUAUCCUAGGCAAUGUUUCUCAUAAAUGGGACCAAAUAAAUCUUGCAGGUUCGAUGCAUUUAAGAGUGCAGACCAGAAUGCAUCACACAACCAAGGGGAGAGCGCUGAUGCCAAAGAACUUGAUACUAGCAUAAGUUAGUAUUUAAUAAAUGGACUAGGAUUUUUUGCUUUCAAAGCAAAUAAUAGAGUUUCAAUAGGUGAAAAACUAAAUCAUCAAGCAGUUAUUAUAAAAUAUCAAUUCAUUAGAACAAGAUGGUAGAUACUAGAUAGGAUCUUUGGCCAGAAACCAUUAAUUUAUUAACAUAUCGUAAAAGCUUUUUUAAUGAAUAAAAUUUCAAUGGCCAUAACAUGCAAUUUAUCCACACUUAAAAAUUAGCAUCGAAAGAUGGUUGCAUGGUGCACAAUUAUAAUUAUGUACUUACAUAUUUUGUUGAAUGCCACAAUAUCACAGCUCUGGAUGUACUCAUUUGCUGGUUCGACCAACAGAUAGUCCUCAAUCAGGUUAUCCACAGAGACCAAGUCAUCCACAAUAGUCAUCAUGAUCUGCAAUUUUUUUAUGCCAUACCCAACUGGGGCCAGUUUUGCUGCAAUUACAGUAAGUAAUGAUCACAUUAAUAAUGUGCCUCAGUUUUUUUUUUAUAAAUAAUGUGCCUCAGUUAAGCACUCAUGGAAUAACAUAUACGAAGUUCAGCUCAUUAUUGUUUGAUAGAAAGAAACUACGUACACGCCCCCCAGAGCAAACCCUCCAUCUUGACACUCCUGACAACUUCUUCAAGCUUUUGCAUGUCUGUUUCAUCAUCCCAUGGUUUUACAUCAAGAAGUACAGAAGACUUUCCAGCUGCCAAUAGGAAAGGAGCCCAAAAUUAGGAAGAAAAUAAACUUAAUGUGCAUAUGUUCUUAAUACAAAUAGAAAAACACAAACAUCUCUAUCGAUUAAGAAAUAUGCCAAGAAACAGAGACCUAGUCUAUAAUUACAGAAAUACACACAUUGAAAUGCGUCAAACUUACACUCUUUCUUUUUUCCGGAUGCUUUGACAGCUGCUGCACGCUCUUCAGCUGCCUUCUUUUCCUCUUCAGUCUCUUCACCAAACAAAUCCAUGUCAUCAUCAUCAUCAUCAUCAGCUGCUGGGCCCUGAAUUUAAGAGUUGCAAUAAGAAAAAAUAUAUCAUCACGUAAUAUAUUACUAUCAUGCUAUAAUACAUUAAAUACACAACAGAAUUUUCAUAGGAUUUGCCAAUUAGCAUACAGGAAAUAUUUGCCAAAGCAAUAUAUCAUAGUCUAGAAUUCACUUUAUUCUUUUAAAAAGUAAAUUAUCUGAAUUUUAUACACCAAAAAGUUCUAAAAAUCACCUUCUUGUCAUCAAUAGCAGGUGAAGGGGCCUCCUCAACCACAGGUGCAGAUGAUUCAAUCUUCACACCCUUGCCUUCCUCAGAGAUACCGCUGAUAUCACAUCAGCGUAGGUCAAACACCAGGAACAACCAAUACGUUCAGAUUGAAGUAAACCAAGACUAAGCACAUACCACAACUUAAGGAGAGCAUCAAUGUGGUUGUACCACCUAGCUACAUUCACAUAGUCUGCCGAUGGAGAUGUGGCUAAUGCACUAUAAACAGAAAUAUCAUCCUUUGAAGCUUGAUAACUGAAACAACCCAUGAAAAAAUGAGACAUCAUGAUCAGGAGAACAGAAAAUUAUCAUCAGAUGUCAAGCAUCCAAAACACGUUACCCAGUUAUAUAGCUUCGGGUAAGAAGAUAAUCAUUAAGUUUCUGGAGGCCAGACGCUGCAUUUAGAUUGUGGAAAGUGACAGCCAUCGCCUUCACAAGAAUCGCCAACCUCUGCAGGCGGUACAUAGCAAAAUCUCAGAUUGUAUAUGCCAAAUCCAACAUUAUCAGUUUCACAACAAACGAUGGCUGACAUCUACAUGUAUAUAUCCCGAAAUUCCAUUACAACUAUCAGAUCAUAUCAUAAGAUAAAGAAAAGUCUCAUCCAUCGUAAGUACUAGUUCAAUGUUAACUUUAAAACAGAGGAAAUUUAAUCUUCAAACCAAAAAAGAUCCAAAUUUCCCACAGAAUGGGAAAAAAAGGACUUAAUUUCACAGGAAUACAUCUUCAUCAUAUAAGAAAACCACGAAACGAUUCGCUUUAUUGAUAAUACAGUCGCUAGCAAACACGAGCGCAUAGAUAACAACAGGUUGCAGACAACAGAAACCCCGAAUUGGCAAAAGCGUGCUCCGCGUCUCGAGAUCGAAAGAGCAAAAUCCGAUGAAAUCGAAAACUACGGAUGUAACACCUCAGGAAAAUGGUCAUGUCAUUGGACAAUACGUAGUUCUACAAAAAGAAAACGAAGAUAGAGGAGGGGGAUCCAAGAUGACCUUUGAUCCGCCUGGGAGAAGCGACAGACGAGACGAAGGGAGCCGAGAACUACGAAUGUCGUGUGGGCGGCGGAGUAAGGGGGCGCAAUCGAGCACCUUUUAUGUGGAAGCGAGUGUAACCCUACCUGAUUCCGAACCGGAUAUCUAUCGCCAACCGGGUUCAGACGAGCGGUCCGAAUCGAUCCUGAUCUUCCGGUUCGACCCAUGUUGGGGGCGCGGUUAGAGGGUUUGGAUUCGGUUUAAUCUGACAUCAAGUCGGAUUAGAAUAUAAUUAAACCGGUCCAUCUUCGCCUUCAUGGCCCGACUUAUGUGGUGACGUGAAUCGUGGACUGGUCCAUGGCCACCCUAUCGAGACUUAAGUCGUGUCUUACGUUGGGAAACGAUCGCUGCAGUGCCUCAACUUGCAUAGCAAACACAGCAGAUUAGUCUUCCUGGAAAUGUCUUCAGCAAAGAAGUCUUCUCUUAAUAUGUUGGCAUUAAGAAGUAAAUUUUAGGAAUUAUUCUUCGUCAUAAUUGAAGUUUCAUUCAGCUCAGGAAAGGCAGAUUCAUGGGAAACAUUCUUGUCUUUCCUUAAACAGCAAGUAUCAUUGCCUUCAUCAACCACCAAAAUGUUCAACAUAAAGAUACUGAAAUUACAAGAAUUCCAACCCAAUAUGAAGACAAUAAGAAAGUUGAUAGCAGAAACCACAUCAACUAAUAGUUUCUUUCAAAGCCUGCAUAUAUUGUGGAAGACAAGACACAGUAGUACAAAUUUUGUGAUCAACAGCAUUUCAUCCAAAAACCAAGGAUAUCGCUCUCGAAGGGAUGCAGCAGUAAAAAAGAAAGCAAAAAGAGACAGCAUUUGUGGAGAUCGAUCAUGCAUCAGAUUCUUCCUCUUGGGGAGGAGAUGCUGCCUCAUCCGAAGUCUUCUCUUUCUCAUCCUCAAGUUUGCUGUAAUUCCCUUUCUGCUUGAUUAGCUGGAUGUGGUGAUGCUUACAGUAUAACGUCCCCUCAUGUGCAAUGUAGUUUGAAGGGCUGAUGGUGCAUCCUCCAUGAGAACAUUUAAAGCAGCUCUUGUGAUAUGCGGUGCCAUUGACCGUGACCUGAGAAAAGGAAUUGGAUCACUCAAUCGGUUCUAUCGUGAACACGAGAAGCCAGAUGCUCUAAAAUGUGCGAACUAGACCUUGCAGGUGACAAGGAGAGGAAUAUAUGUGCUUUUUGUACUGAGAUGCAACAUCGAUACACAUGUUAAUAUACUUGAGAUGUUAGUAAAUAUUAACUGGAUUAGAUUAACUCUUCCAUUUUAUGUUUUCUUAAAAGGCUGCAAUGGCAGGAAAAUAUGCAAUUCUUUUUUCUGUGGAAGGUAGGAAAAAAAUCUGCACUACUUUGAGAUGAAUUGUUGUUUUCGUGAAGUAUGACAAAGAUGACAUCAAUCGUGUGUCAUGCAUGGAAAUUGCUAUUCAUGAACAACAAAGAAAGACUGGAAAAGAUGCAUGUUUAGAAGUGCUAGACUUAAAAUGAGUGCAAUUACCCUUUCGAUUGGAUAUACAGUCUUCUUGCAACCAACACACUUCUCUCUGGUGCCAGCAAAAGCACUUGAUACCUUGUUUGCAUUCUGUAGAGAAUAUUUGAGUUCAAUAUCAGCAUUGGAACACAUUACUUAGAAGAAUAAACAUGCAGCAUACAAUGGAAAAGAUGUCAAUUAAAAGUUGCAGUUUGAUAGAAGAAUAAAAAUUAUACAGUAACAGGUUCAUUACUUCCUCAAAAGCAAAUCCCAUAAAGCUAAGCAGUAUGAAUAUGAUGGUAGUGGAACCAGUGCUUAAGAGGAACAAAGAAAUAAUAUUAUUGGAAAUUUGGUUGGAUCUAUUCAAUAAAUUCCAUCCUCAAUGAAACUCUAGCCACAUCCAGACUAUCCAAUCACCCAAAGGAAUUUUACAUAGAAUUUGUAUUAAAGCAAUGGCUUUGGCCUUGGGGAAAGAAGAUACUUCUCAACUUGGUAAUCUAAGAUUCAGACUCAAUUUGUUUGCCUCUAGAACGGGCGGAUUUGGAUUAAUUACUUUACCUCGUUAUCGACAAACUUUUCCGGUUUGACAACCUUUGGGGUCCCUGAAGAAGACAAAUGAAGCCAGGUUCAAGUGUCACAAAAACAAGAAAAUUUUAAGAGGAAUGUGAGGAAAUGAUGAUCACCUUCAAAGCUUUUGUCCAGACUGCCAGUUGAUUUGUAGAUUUGAUCAAAAUGAGGUCUGCAAUACAGGACUCCCUCAAAGGAAUUAUAGUUUCCCAGCUGCAAAUUGAAAAUGUCAGUACAAUUAUGAAGGCUCACAGGAAAGUUUGGCUUUUACCGUGAACAUGAGACUUUGUUAGUUGUUCAAAGAUUUCCUUCUAUAAUAAUGCAGAUUGAGUUAGAAUGUGCUUGGUUAGAUAAUAGAGUCUAAGCUUGUACAAGCAUAUUAUUUACCAUCUUUCCUUUCCAUUGUUGCCUAAAGAUGUGGACCUUCCAAGUUCCAAAAAGAAGGAACUCUCAUAGCAGUAGAAAGUGCAUCCCCGUGCAUUAAUUAUCACGUAUAUGAAGAUGAAUUAAUGUACAACAUCGAAUUAUAUGCCUUGAUUGAUUACAUGGAUGCAUUAUGGUACAUUGUGUCUCAUGUGAAUGGCAUCAGUUGCAUUUCUCCAAUCCUAAUCAGAAGUAUACUUCAGGAGCAGGUCAAUCGCGUCCACUGAAUGCUGGUUCAUCAGAUAUAACUAGAACUUGCGAAGAUUAGGUCAUUUUUUUGUGGUCGUGGUGAUCGAAAUAAAGAUGGAAGCAGACAGAACCAACAACUCUCAUGAGAAUGCGUGUUGAUGAACUGAUCAUGUUUUCAGAUAGAUCGAUAGAGAGAGAAUGCAGAUCUCCAUCAAACAUAUGCAAAAGACAGAGUCCACGGAGAAUACGAAUUCUUGUCUCAGAAAGACAAGAUAAAUGGGGGAGGGCGGAUAGGAUCUCACCUUCAAUGUGCCCUUGCAAUGGUGGCACCUGAAGCAGGCCUUGUGGUAGACCCGGUUGUCGGCGGUGAGCUUUUCGACCAAGUACACCGUCUUGGUGCACGCCGUGCACUUGGUCGUCGUCCCUUGGAACGCCAUCGCUCCUCGUCCCGUCCGACCAGUGGGGAAACCUCAAGACCGAACAGAGGCUACCUUACUCUUGUUCUUCUUCUUCUACAAGCAGCAGCCGGUGUUGAUGGGAAUGGGAUUGGUGAGCGCCCACAGCCACCCACAGGGCCUGCGCAAGGCCGGAGGCAAAUGGGAGGUGGGGGAGCUGCGAGGCGGAAGGGCAGGAAGAAAAAGGAAGAGGUCAGGUGCAGAGAAUCGCGGAGGAACGAGCAAAUGGCGGUGGGAGAGAGAAGAAAGAAAUGACAAUUAUUAAUUUUAUUAAUUUUUUACAUCUCGAUCGUCUAAGUAUUUUUUGAAUAAAAAAUAUUUUCUAGAAUGUUUUUAUAAGUUUUCUAUAUAAGAUAGUAACAUUUAGUCUAAAUGUUUACUUCAAUAAUAAUAAUAAUAAUAAUAGACGAUCGAGAUGGAAAUUAGUAGUAGGAUGAACAGUUAAAAAACUAUAUCAUGUUAAAGUAAGAUUGAUGGACAUGUCAUUAUUGUCGUCAAUCCGAUAUCAAGCAAGGCAGGUGAAGAAUGAUGUUAAUCGUAACACCUGAGGAUUGGGAAGUGAUCGAUCAUCCUACACAUCAACAUCUGAAUUAUAUAUUUCAAAGGUGAUGGAUCAAUCUUAUACAUUAAGGAAUAUGAUGUUAGUAUACAACGUUAAUCUUAAUUAAUUUUCGUUGACCAUUUCGUCAAGUUAGUCACUCCAGUGGUUCUAAUACUAUAGCCUUCAGAAGCCAUCAAUCUGUUCUAAUAUAUGCUUCACAAUUAAAGCUUUCUAACACCAAAUUUGAAUCUUAAAAUGCUUUUGGCCAUUGCUGAAUAUAGUGAAAGAAGAAGAAGCUGAAACACAUUACUUUCAGAUGAAUAUUCUGUUGGUCCUAAAAUUAAAAUUAAUUCAAAACAUGUGCAAGUCUGAACAAAAUACAACAUAGCUGCAGCUGCGAGUUUGCAGUUCCUGUAUUGUCCUCUCAGGCCUCUGUAUCUGGAGGACCAGCUUGGUUCCAAGAUUGGCGUGGUCCCUCAUUCCUGCACAUUUAGAUACAUAAAACCAAAAUGAUGUGGAGGAGGAACCUAUCGAAUGAAAAGUUUGACACAAGUAUCAGUCCAGACACAUGUAGAACAAUGAAAAAAGAAAUGGUACAUAUAUGAAAAGUAAGCCUAAUCAUUCCAAACCCUAAAGCAUGUUUCACAUUCCUUAGAAGUACAGCUUGUACAACAGAGAAUAGCUAACUAAAGCAGAACUACAACCUAAGCAAUAAAUAUCUUGCUCUGUCAAUUUAAAUAUUAUCCACUAAUUUCCAAGAUUGAAGCUUGCUAUAGAUAUGUACCAUUAGUGUGUAGCUUUCUUCACAACUUUUAACGAAUGUUCAGACAAAGAAUAGUCAAUAUAAGUUCAUGCUCGGUUAUAAGAUUAAAGGAAAUAUACCCUGAAUCGUUUGCGCCGCGAACCAUUAGAAUCAAAUGUGAUGUGGGGCUGAUUUUUACUGGGUUCAUUUCUUAUAUUUCCUGCCAUAACCUGGGUUGAACUAUCCCUUUCCUGUCUGUAACUUCUAUAAGGCUUCUGAUUUACGCUCCGGAAAUAGCCAUCUCUGUCCCAAGAUACCUCAUAGUCUACUUUAAGCCGUGAGCCUUCCUGCAAAAUAUGAAAAAGAUUCAAAAUCAAGAAAGGUAUAUACAAGAUACAAAGAACAGGUCCCACUAGUAACACAUGGAGAAUUAAUGAGAUGUCUUUGGAAUCCCUAUCUAAGGUCAUAAAAACUAAUUUCAAAGACACAUGUUAUGGGUACUUAUAACAUGCUAAACAGGUACCCUAGGAAUUUCAUACAUGUUCUUAUGAACUUCAAAAACACAUCAUUGAGAAAGUAACAUAGCUAUUGAUUCCAGUUAGAACUCAUCAUGUUCACCAUUGAACAGCAUCUUGAUGCAAAUGCAUGCCUGGAUUUCCAAUGUAAACAAAUCAUGAGAUUUCAAAACCGUUAGACAUUCCUAGAGCUUUAUCGAAGUUGAUACGAGAAUCUUAUUACAAACCCACAUGAUCCAGCUCCACAAAGUUCUACAAAUAAAAAUUGCUCAGGCAGGGGUGCAAAAUUCUUCUGCUAUAUGGUCAGUUUAAUUUUCUAUGUUGACCUACUGUCAGCGUAGGUCAAAUACCAUUAAAUCAAGCUUGUCUAUGUGAAAGAACAAAGGAUUUAGAAGAGAGCCUUGUAAGUAUCAGUGAUUUGCAAAUUCAGCAAAGUUUGGAUUUUCCAAUUCCAUGGUAGAUUGCACAAAAAUCCUGGCUCAUUUCAAUCUAACAUCGGCUAAUGUAUCCCCUUUUAGGUUUUCCCACUGCGAAAAUCGUAUUUAAAAUUGAGUCAACUGAAUGGAUGCAAACCUGUGACAUUUAAGCUUUAGAAUGAGCAAACCUAAGAUUUUGUUCAGUUGAUUCGAAACCUAUUACCAUUAUUUUCAAAUGUUGAGGAGUUUGCAUGUUCUUAGAAAAAUAAGAGCUCCAAAAUCAUCUUAGAAAGAAAAUAAAAAACAAGAAAUACAACCCCCUAAGGGGGAAAAAGCCAUUAUUUUCUUCAUAAGUACAUACCUUUGUUGUUACUUUAAUCCACAAGUAUACCAAGUUUUUGUCAUUAUGCAGCACCAAAUAAUUACAGUAAAAGAAUUACAAUAUUGACAUAAGGUACGAUGUCUGUAAAAGAGAGAGUUUUUAUGUGAAAAACCAACAAGAUUUCUGCAUGCCUUGGUUGUUUCUAUCCACCACCCACCUCACUGCUUCAUGUUAUUAUUUUCCAUAUUUGUUCAUGCAAUUCCUAUGCAUUAGCAUAUCCACAUGCCUCAUUAAUAGAUCUUAAAAUGCAAACAAAAGUUACAAGGUAGUUCAACAUUUGUUCCCACAACAUUUCCUACAUGCUAUUGUGCUUGCAAUUACUAGAAAAUAAACAACCUCAAAUUUUGAUGAUAAGAAACUAUAAGGUCUUUUGGAAAUUAUUGAUCUGAAGUUCUAAAGAGCACUCCAGUUGUAACUUCAUCAAUCAUUAUACUUCUCAUCAAAAACAAUUUAGGGAAUGGCAAGACUUCAUUUGAACAAAGCGGUAGAAAGCAAUGUGUGAAGCAAAAAGCAUAAAUUGUUCGUGAUUUUUUUGUUGUUCCUUGUAUUAUGUUUAUGGUUUUGAUUAUUUUCAUUAUGUUAACAGCUCCUUUUCUUUUCCUCUAUUUAUUAGGAUGCUGAUGGUUAUUUUGCUUAAUAUCACGUCUGCAGGCUCUCAACAAGGGCAUUUGAUGAAAUCUCUAGUUACUGUGCUACAGCAUGGAGUUAUUUAACCUCAAGAUGUCCUGUUUCAAAAUAAAAUACUGUAUGUUAUGUCAAAGUUUGCCUUACCGUGGUGUAUCAAUCAGCCAUUGUUACAAUACAUAUCAAGGCAUACCAACAUAUCGUGUGUUGGUACGGCAAGGCAUAUCGAUAACACGGAAAAAUAACGAAAAAUAGCUUCAAAAAUUCCUUUUAUAUAUAUAUAUAUAUAUAUAUAUAUAUAUAUAUAUAUAUAUAUAUAUAUAUAUAUAUAUAUAUAUAUAUAUAUAUAUAUAUAUAUAUAUAUAUAUAUAUAUAUANNNNNNNNNNNNNNNNNNNNUAUAUAUAUAUAUAUAUAUAAUGAUUUUUAAGUUGAAAAUAAAUAUAAAUUUAAUAUAAUUUUAACAAAAAUAAUCUAAAUUAUGAAAAAAUAGUGACAUCUUUUUCGGGCUUUGAGGAGUACCUUUGUGGUACGUUCCGAACCGUUUUUUCGUUAAUGUUGAAUUAUCUACAAAAAAAAAUAAUUUGAAUUGUUAAAUUAUUUUUUAAAUAACUUAAACUUUAAGAUUUAAAUGAAUCAAAUAAUCAAUCGAUAGAUAUACCUAGUUCUACCAUCAAAAAGAACGACGAGACUCCACGAGUGAUAGAUCGAAGUCCUUGAUUCUAUGUAUCUAUAUAUCAAUUUGAUAUAUUUAUCGAACUCAAUCCUAAAAUUAAUCCCACGACAUAGUAUACUGAUACACUGUAUCCUAUUUGUACAUCAAUGUAGUGAUGGUCAGUCUGAUGGUCAUGAACCACAUAUGUCCAAGACGACUCCUAAGGCAAGGAUGAUUGUGGCAUAUAUUGGUGCGGAACAUAGAGAAUGUCAGAACUUCUAUUUUCAUCAUUGAAAUGCCACUUUGUAUCAUAAGAUCGAUCACCAUACUAUUGCUUGGAGAAGUAUAACCAACUAUCACCGCAUUAUUGUUGGCCGUAGAUUCUCUAUAAUACGACGACUAUGAAUACGAUGAGCUUCGCUUUGUGUUUACGUCGUGUAAGCUCUGUCGCAUCUACUCAAAAUCAUUCAUUGUCUUCCCCUUCCCCUUUUGUGUAUAAACUUAACUACUGCCUUCCCCUUUGCCUUUGCCUUUGCCUUUGCCUUUGCAUGCUAGGCAAACGAUUGUGAUGUUUGGGUCUCUCUAACUCCUUUAGCAGUCAAAAGGUGUCUUAUAGCCCGACUCGAUUCUUUCUAACGAUACAACUAAUGCUACUGCCUUCUCCUCUGCCUUUGCCUUUGCCUUUGCACGCUGGGCGAACGAUUGUGACAAUUGGGUCUCUCUAACUCCUUUAGCAGUCUAACUCGAUUAAGAGACUGAAAUGGGUUGAAACAGGGGGGAGUAAAGCAUUUAGAAACCCUUUCCUAUCAUUCAAACAGUUACAUUGACUAUUUAAAACAGGACAAUCUCAGCCCUUGAUCGGUAAUGGUCAAAAUCCGACCGUUACUGACCUGUAUGGGAGGAAAGGAUUGAAAAACCCUUUCCUAUGGUUCAAAUAGUUAAAUUGACAAUUUGAAACAAAACAAUCUCAGCCCUUGAUCGGUAACGAUCAAAAUCCAACUGUUAUCAACCGAUACAGGUUGGUAACGAUCGAAUUUCAACCAUUAUCGAUCGAUACAAAUCCUGUAUCACUCGAUACGGGGUCAUGUAAUGUGCACUGCUCGAUGUAUGGUAGUCCGCAUACCGGUCCUAUGUCAGACCAGUAUGUACCACCCAUACCAGGCGGUACACCUCGAUAAGACGAAUCUUGUGUUGUGUAGGCACUACUACUAUAUUCUUAUGUAAAUAAAAUAUAUAUUGUUCUAUUAUGAUUUUAAAUUUAUGAUCAUUACACAAAAUUCCCCUAUCAUAAGUUGCAUGUUUUCCAAGCAUAUUUGGGCAGCAAUGUAUUAUUAUACUGAACUUUUCCUUUAUUUGUGAGAUUUUGGAAAUAAAAAUCCAAAACUAGCUCAUACUAGACCUGAGGAGUACACAGGUAUUGCAAUUCCAAUGUCAGCGAUGCAGUUAAAUAUUAUACACAAUUUGUUCGAUUGGUAGAUAACCACUAACACAAAUCAUCAUAUAGAACUGGUUGAUCAAAACCAUAGUAUUACCUUCUGCAUUGACCGUCCAUAUAACACCUUCAUGGCAUUGUAGAAGUCAUCAUAACUCUCAAACUGAACCCAGACUUUGCAGUUAAGUCCAGAAAUAAUCUCUUCUUUAGAGUCUUCUGAUUUCACACCUAAAUCAUCGUCGCUGGCAACAUUAAGAUUCCUAGUUGAUGCAGGUUAAGAAUGUCAAAAACACAAAGGAUGAUAGUCAUUGAUUAAGUUGAUGAAGAUAUAAAAGGAAGGGGAUCAACCAAAAAGUUUGGCCACAUGAAACAAAUACCAAAUAAGACACAUUAAGAAGCUUAACAACUGAAGUUUAUACUUUAUACACAUAAAAUAUCCAAUAAAUGCUCCAGCAUAUUGUUGUAAGUUCUCCCAAAUUCAUGCUGUGUGGUCUCUUAUAUCAAACAAAGUAACUGAAAAGAGAAAAAUGACCCACUUGGGAACAAACUAAACUCCUCUUUCAGUAAGUGAAAAGAAAUAUCCUUAUCAACUGACAAGGAUGGUAAGUAAAAUCAGCUACUACUCUUUAUGACAAUAAAACAUAUCAAUGCAGCCAAAAUUUAUGAGUAAUUGGUCUACCCAUGAAAGACUAAGUCGAAGAGUAAAAUCAAGUUAAGUCUGUCUCCAAUUAGUUAUAUAUUUUUAGUCAAAUCAGCUGAGUCGAAUUAUCUUCCUCAGAUAUUGAACUUGUCGCCGGAUCAGACACGGCAAACAAGUUGCCACUCUACAAGACAACAUUUAUCAGAGUGAAUGAAGAAAGCAACAAUUGAACAGCCAAACUAUGCAAUAAAUCUAGAAAGAUUACAAAAUUCACCUUAUCUUCCCCAGUGUGGAAAAAAUGGUAUGAGUAACCAACAUCGAGGCCUUGGACGACACUCGUGGCUCCGCAAACCAGCGAGAAGGAACACCCCGAACAAUGACUGUGUCUGGUCGCCUGGCAAAUGCCCUUCCUGCAAACACAACGCGCAGAUCAAGAUCUCCAGUUUGCCCAACCAAGCAACGCGACAUGAUAACAAACAACUAAAACUUCCUUGUUCUAAGAUUAGAGAUAGGAUAUAAUUACGGGAAUCCAACAAUUGUGAGGUAUAAUAAUCCUCCCAUGAUUUCUUCAUCAGCUCAAAAUCAUCCGCCGGCGGGAUCUCCACGGUCAUCUUGAACUUGACGCCCUCGAGGUUCAAAUCGAUCCCGGCAAGCCGGUCGACGAAGGUGCUCCGCCAGUCCAAGAACCUCUUCCUCGACGCCCCCUCGUCCUCCUCGUCCCCUUCUCGGUUCUCGCUCUUGAGGAACCCUAGGUCGCGGACGAAGAGAGUCCCGGAGGCCACGGGCUCGUCGCGCUUGCGCUUGUGGAGGUCGGGGCGGCGUCGGAUGACGAGGUCGUCAUCGGGGACGGAGAGGGAGAGGGGAUGGGAGCGAAGGAAGUCGAGGAGGGCGAGCUUGAGUUUCCACUCGUCGAUGGGCUUAACGGCAGGAUCAGAGCGGAAGAACGUGAGGAGGAGCUUCACACGCGGGGAGAGGGACAGGCCGCCGCCGCCAAUUUCUAGGGUUUCGGUCGGCGAGAGAUACUGCAAGCGGCGGCGCCGGGCGGACGGAGAGGACGCCAUGUUCUUUUCUACGUAGUGGUUUAGGUAAUAGUUUAUAACGCCUUAAACGAACCCAAAAUGGCGAACGUUAUAUAUAAACGUUACCAUGGAUGUGCGUUAUAUACCGGGUCAGAUGUCCGCAGAGGAAACUAAGAUAUUAUUUAGAUAGAUUAAAUUAGCACAAUUUACCAAACAAACCAAUAAUGAGGUUUUAUCUCAUAUUUGGUUUUUAUCUGAGGGGUAUCUUUUUUUUUAAUGCUAGAAUAAAAUAUAUUUUAUAAAAUAAUAAUAAUAAUAAUCGAUAUAUGAUAAUCGACGAUCAUAUAUUGACUUGAAUAGAUAUUAAUAAUGUUCCCAUUCUGAGAAAUGUGUUGAUGAAAAUUAGAGAGAAUAUUGACUUGAAUAGAUAUUAUCCCUAUUAUGACAUUGUAGAUGGAUACUUCACCUAUACCCUGCAAACACAGGUAUUGUGUCUUCACAUGCAUGCACCUUAUGUUACAGUUAGAAUGAAUUGGGAGACCAAAUUAACAAUAUUAACAAGGAGGUAAAUUUACAUGCAUAUAUAUCCUCUUAAAUCGGUUGUUUUAAUAUGUAAGCCUACCAAAACUGGGACUCUAGUUAAUGUUAAUGACCUUUAAAAAUCAUUAUGAUAAUUUAGACAUUAUAUAAUAACGUAUAUUUACAUUCAAAUUAGUUAAUGUCAGAAGUAGUUAACCUAAAUUUUCUAGAAUGAAUGUUGAUCUUAUUAUUAUUAUUAUUUUGUAAGAAAUAUAUGUCACUUCAAAACUGCAAGAUAUUGUACAUUAAUUUUAAAUUUGAAGUUCCAACUAUUUAGGAUUGACUAUAUGAGUCCUUUGUCGUCAUUGAGAUAUAUAAAAAGUUAUAUAUUUAGUUAAGUUUAAAAUAAUUAAAUCUUUAUUUAUAAUUUUUAUUAAGGUAUUUUAAUAUUUUACUUUGCAUCUUCUCUUACCACUAACCUUAAUCAUUUCGUUUCUUCUAAGUAUUGCACCAAUUACCAACGAAUCAUUCCAUCCCAGAUGCAACCGCAGGUACACAAAUCUUUAUUAAUUCCAAACAGUUACCAAUCAUUCUACAGAGCUAAAACUAAAUAGUGUCAUUGAAAGAAAGAUGAAUGCAAUCGCUUCAAACAGUCCAAAUUCCAGCCAAGAUUGGUAAAGAUAGGAUUCCAUACCCCUAAUCUGAAAUCAUGGUAGAUCAUUCAAGAAGAUGAGGCAUUCGAUUAGACGAGAUGUGGCGACUGCGGAGGAGGGGAAGGCGACCUACACUUACCUUACGCUCCGCGACGGCCCGAUGCGGUGAUCAGAGGGCGAGCGGCGCUCGGAUCGGCUGCGGCGGUAAGAGGAGGCUUGACCGAACUUCGAUGCUGGGGCCUCGGCCUCCCCCUCGUGCUCCGGAAGGUGAUCCAUGCUGAGGCUGCGGGUGCCGCGGGAGAGGCAGCGGUAGGAGCUCCGAUCCCGGCGCCGCUUGAUCGCGUGGAUCACGAAGGGUAUGAGGCCCUCCAUUCGUUGCUCUGUCUUUCUCUGACGAACUUUUGGGGAAGCAGACCGACGGUCGGCACGCGAGGGAGUGAGCGAAAGGCGGUGUGUUGAUGUUUAUAUAGUGGGGAAUUGAUUAGAUUGUAGCAAUGGUAUUUCUUUAUGUCACCGUCAAAUGGAGGAAUAAAGCGGUACGUUAUUUGGAA